rnacentral:lncRNA from 1 species
UUUUUUUUUUUUUUUUUUUUUUUUUUUUGUAUAAAAGUUGGUUUUAGUGCCUAGCUAGUGUCAAACAUCUCAAUUUUCAUGAUUUGCUUUUUUUUUGAAAUUUUAUAAAAUUUAAUCUUUUAUAUACCACAGAGACGCCUUCGUACGAAUAGAACUAAAUGCAUGCCACGUAUACAAAGAAGAAUCUGUAAUUCGAAUACAAAUUACGUGUCAUGCAUUCAAACUUGUUAGUGUACAAAAAAAAUAAAAAAUAAAAAUAAAGAUCCACCAAAUGUGCAAGAAAGGUUAAUUUAAUUUUAUGUUGGUUUGAAAAUCUUUUUAAAUAUGGUUCAAUGCUCAUUCAAGACUAGCAAACAGAAGAAAAUGAAAAACCCAUUAAAUGGUUAUCUUUCUUUCUUUCUCAUCCUACCAUUAAAUGUGAAGUAUACCACAUGCAAGUUAGUUCUAGCUAAUUUUAGGCAUUAAUUACUUACUGAUUAAUGCUACAUUAACAAUAAUGUUAGAUGACCUGAUUUCAAGGUCGUGUUUGUCUGUGCAGUGAUACUGGUAAGCAAGUUAAUGAAGCAUUCUCUUUGUAUGGAUUGCUGGGAUUGCUCCAUUUCCAAACUGGUGCACUGUGGUUUGGAAAAACUCUCACAUUAUUGUUUAUAUUAAAUCCAAAACUUGAGAUCGAAAUCCUACAGAUGUAAGACCGAAUCCUUUUGCUUUUUAUAUUAUGGACAAGUUACAAAUAUGAAGCAAAAGAUUCAGAUCAGAAUAAAAGAAAAGGUAUGAAGCAAAAGAUUAUGGAACGAUUUGACAUUAAAAAAAAAUGCAGGCAUCUUCAUACUGUGAGAAAUGAGAUUGAAAAAAAAAAGAUUAUUUAGCAAUUUUAUAUUCUUUUUUGUUGCUUGAAUGCUGCAAACAAGGGAAAUCCCAAGUCAACAAACUAGUAGUACUUCAUUAAUAUUACGGCUCAAAUUAAUUGUUCUAGGCUGGGCCAAGUUUUUUUUAUAAGCCUCUAUCUAUAACGGGUAUAAUAAUAUGUUCUAGAUGGGUAUAAAUGGUACCUACUUUUUGCUGUGACAUCCCCUCAGGCCCUCACCAAACCUUUUCUAUUAUUUUCUUUUCUUAAUUUGCCAAUUGAUAAUUUAAGACGGGCCAAGUGACAAUUUCCACUCUCCUUUGUCAUUUUUGUGAUGCAAAUUGAUUUAUUCUGCACAAGAUAUUAAACCUUUUGCAUCUUAUUUUAUGAUUUUUUUUUUUUACCUUCCACGAUCUUAUAUUGUCUCGACAUCGGAAUUAUGUAACCCUUUAGUUAAACAGUUGAAAAAGUAAUUAGAUAAAAAAGUAACACCAAAGAUAAUGACUUGCUAAUAAACAAUGGGUUUACAAGCAAGCCAAUAAACAUAGAGAUAAACUACCGAUUAGUGAACUCCAUAAAAGCUAACAGCCUCUUGGGCUGUUAGUAAAAGUUUUGGUGAGGGUCGGAGGUCAAGGAUUCAACCCUUGCCUCUCACCUUGCCACUUAAUUGUGACUUCCUUCUACUGAAAAAUCCCUCCGGCUCCCCCUUCUCUUAAAUUAGAUUAGAGUAGAGUAGGUUAUACAAAUGUUAUCAUUGCGAAAAAAAAAGGAACUCCAUAAAAAACCAGCAGACAAAUUUUGGAGAACAUUUUCAUUUAUUAGAGGAUCCGGUAGCUAAAUAAUCCCAAGUUUUUUGAAUUUAGCAUUGGAUCAAUCUUGGCCCAAGUGUUUCAACCAAGGCUCCAUCAAACGCAAUUGGACUGAUAUGAUGACCAUAAGUUAUCUCUAUAGCUGACAUUUGGGCCGUAGGCAUGCCCAAUAUGGCAGCACUCUCCUCAAAGUAGUUGGAGUAUGUAUCUGAACUGUGUGGGUUUGUGACUGGUUUUAUGGUCCAUUGGAGGAGGAAAGUUUAGUGUAUCUUCUGUUAGCGCUUUCCUGGCGAAACCGUGCUUACCUUCUUGGAAGCUUUUGACUAUUCUUUUGGUCAAAGCCGUCGUGUUUAGCAAGAAAGUGCCUUGCCUUGCACGGCAGUAAUUGUUUACUUUUUCCCAUUGGGGAGUAGGCGGGAUUAAUAUGUUUAUUAUAAUAUAUUAGCUAGAAUGCAUGGCAAUUAAUUACAACUUGUUUUUCAAAAUUUGCACAUGUAACACACAUUAAUCUCCCUUAUCCUUGCUUUAAUGUAUAUGUUAUCAGCGUAGGAAAGAUUAAUUAUUGAAUAAAAUGAGAAUAAUUUGAGUACUGGGUAUGUUUGGAUGGCAAACUAAAAGGAAAAAAAAUUUUUUUUUUUGCCGUAGCAUAGAGGUAUAAACUGUAUUUCAAUCACCUCUUUUUUUUUUAUGUAUAUUUUUAACCACUUUUCCAUUUCAUAUGCUAACACAUCAUAUCACAAAAACGCGAAAGUCAAAUCUUUCCACAUAAUUUCAAUCCUUUAAUUGUAAAGUUCUUUUUGGUCCAAAUUGAAAAUUCAAAGACCACCAAAAAUAUAGGUUCAUUUUAUUUUUGGUCCUUUGAAAUAAUAAAUGAAUGCAAAGUGCAGUUCCCUUUAAAUAGUUUUAUUAAGUACAUUAGUUUACUACCCAUAUUGAACAAAGAUAGUGAGUUAUUACAAAUAUAAUAGUAGAAUUACUAGGAUACCCAAUAUAUAUAAUCUCUCAAUAAAUAAAUUACCUCAAAAAUAAUGCAUAUAAUUUUGAAGGUUUUAGCUAAUAGGUGCUCGAUAAGCACUUGAUAAAAAAGGGAAUUCAGGUGUUACUUUGUCGCAAAAUUUGAGUUAAUUAUUAGGAGAAGUAUCUAAAGGUGCAAUAAAUAUUGAUAUGUGCAUGUAUUCGCAUAAUAAGUUGGGGUAAUUUAGGUUCACUAGUAACAUUCAAAAAAAAAAAUAUUUUUUCAAAUUCAAAGUAAUGGAGACAAUAAUGGUUGUAGAAAAUCCUCAAAACAAAAGGAGCAGAGCAAAACAAAAAAAAAUUCAUGUAGAAACGUGUGAAAUGUUUGGAAAGAACAGGGGCCUUGGUCAUCUUCUUUUUUUUUUUUUUUUUUUUCUGGAAAGGGAACCUUGGUCGUCUUAGAAUAUUCAAAAGUUGAUCAAGCACGUACAAAUUGAACGAGGAAGCCAAUCCACAACGGUCCACCUAUAAACCGCGCGAACCUUAGGUACCGUUUGGAAUUAACGGAAAUAAACGGGAAAGAAAUGAGAGUAAAGGACAGUAGGUUUUAUCCAUCUUGGUUUAGAAUAAAUAUAUUUCCAUAUAUAAAGUAUGAGGAAGGAGUUUGGUGUUAAAAUUUUGUGCCAUUUUAUAGUUGUUUUAAUUUUAUCUUCACAAGAGUAAAGAUUUACUAAAGAUAGCUAACUUAAAAUUUUAGUAACUUCUAACAAUUUCUACUUUCAAUAACAUUUAUUAUUUUAUUUGUUUGCCAAAAACAAUAACAACUUCUUUAUUUUUGCAAAAAAAAAUCUAAUAAUUUUCAUUGGCUUUAGUAAAAACAACUUAAUUGUUUAUCAAUUUGCACACUCAUAGAGUGUGUUUUUUCCAAAGUAGAAAGAAAAGAAAGUAAAUAUUUGAUGUGUUAUUUGGAUUGAGGAAGGAAAAAUUCAAUGAUCACGUAAAUUGAGAAGAUUCAAAAAAAGAAUGUUUAAAAAAAAUUAAUUGUUUCAUUUAAGUUGAUUCCUUUUUGCUCCAUUCCUCCCACUUUUGGAAUGAAUUUUUUUUUUUAAAAAGGAAAAAACUAGACCCACUCCCUACCUAACCUUUCCUUUCCCUCCUUGAAACAUAACGUAAACAAGAAAAUUUUAAAUCCUUCCAAUUCCACUCCUUUCCUUUCCUCCAUUCCUUCAAUCCAAACGGUGCCUUAGAACACCCAACCAAUGCCGUAUUUCAUCUUCCCAUCUUCUAGGCUGCUUCCUUCCAUCUCCAACUCUCCCGGACAGCCCUUCUUAUUCUUAGCAUGUCUCUCAGUUCUAUCACCAAUAUCAAUAUAUACAAACCAUUCCAUUUCCUUUAACUUCCACAAGAAAGCACCAAAAGAAAAGGUUCCAAGCAAUUAUAAUUAUAACACUCGAUACUACAAUUCGGUUACAGAGCUGACUGCAUUCAGUAGCAAUGGCUGUUUCAGAGAUGUUUCAAGGGGCGUCUUUGAUCCCAUCUUUUCUUUAUUCUCCUUCUUCAUUGUCAUCGAGGGGAUUGAUUGAUGGGGAGAGCUCUUUUCUGAUGUCUAGUGCUUCAUUUUCGCCCUCCAAUGUUUCAUCAGCAGCAGGAAAUAAAGAGAUUGUUAAGAGAGAAUUUGUGAUUCCAGCGCCUAAUGAGCCCGCUGAAAAGAUUAAGAUGUUUUCACCGGCUUAUUAUGCUGCUUGCGGGGUUGCUGGAGCGAUUAGUACUGGGCCAACUCAUUCGGCUGUCACCCCUAUUGAUCUGGUCAAGUGUAAUAUGCAGGUAAAUCACUUAAUAGAUGAUGAUGAUGAUGCAUUGUUCCCACCGCCCCCCCCCCCCCUUUGGCUUAUGUCUCAGGCUCUAUUUGUGUUGGAAUCAAUAUAAUACCGUAUCCGUGAAAGAAAUGCGACAAAGGAAAUGUUGUUAGAGCAUUUAGAUUAGCAGUAAGUUCAGGUUUUAAGAUCUUGGUUCUUUAUUGUAUAUGAUGACAAAUUGUUAAUUUCUAUGGUGGGUCAAAAAGAAAAGUUUAGAUGCAUAACUAGAAGUUUCAUACUGAGAAAAAUAUGUAGGUAAAUCAUAUAAUUCCUUUGGCAGUUUGGCCUAUUCGUUGAUCCACUUAUUGUUUGAAUUUGUAAUAAGAUGCAUUAGAUAUAAUAGUUUUGUCUAUUGGAAGAAGAAGUCAUGGUAUGUCACCAGAGAUCAGCCAGAAGACAUCAGGCAUUAUGCAUACUAAAUAUUUAUUGUUCUUCUAUAAAGCUAAUGGUGUAGUAAUUGAAUUAACUUGAUAAUCCUUAUGUAUUCAGAUUGACCCUGCAAAGUACAAGGGCAUUACUUCUGGUUUCAGUGUUUUGCUCAAGGAGCAAGGCGUAAGAGGACUUUCUAGGGGUUGGGUACCAACCCUGCUUGGUUAUAGUGCUCAGGGAGCUUGCAAGUAUGGAUUCUAUGAAUUCUUUAAGAAAUACUACUCUGAUAUUGCUGGUCCUGAGUAUGCAGCCAAGUAUAAGACUUUGAUCUACCUCGCUGGCUCUGCAUCCGCUGAAUUCAUUGCUGUUGUUGCCCUUUGUCCCUUCGAAGCAGUUAAGGUUCGUGUCCAGACUCAACCUGGAUUCGCCAGAGGCAUAUCAGAUGGACUUCCCAAGUUUAUCAAGGCUGAAGGUCCACUUGGGUAAGGUUUUCAUUGCAUGUCAAGUAGUUGAUACAGUUUCUUAUUCUGCUGAUACAUUCUAAAGCCAAUCUUAUAUAUAAUUUAUAUUUUUCCAGGCUUUACAAAGGGCUUGUUCCUCUAUGGGGACGACAAAUUCCAUGUAAGCUUCCAUGUCUAUUUUCUUUCGCUAUCUUUACAUCUUAAUUCUCAAAGUGUUAUUCUUGGUCAUUUGCCUAUUCUGUCAUGGACAUGCUUUGCCAAUUUACAGCUCUAGCUUUCUGAUUUUCUCAAUGACAUCAUUGAAUAUUUUUAGAUCAUCUCCAAUUGCUUUUGUAAUAGUCUUUCAGUCUUAACUUCAAUUAGAGUUUUCAGUAGUGACUCACAAAUGCAGGCUAUUUAUUCAAUCACAAAAUACUAGGCAAUCUAUUUUCCUGAUAGUAUAUUGAGCAACAAGUAUAAUUAGCUUGAAGCUGCCGUGUGCAGAAACUAGUUUCUUCUGCAACAUCUUCAGUUACCGCGUGUCCCCUGCACAGACAUGAGGUUGCAGAUUACCUGCUUUUCAAGUCGAUCCCAAUUUUGAAAAUGAAACGUUAGACUCAUUAAAAAACACACGUACAUUAACUGCAUUAUGAUAUUUUUUUUUUUUUUUUGUAUUUGCAAACCAUGGUUUAUCCUCAGAAAAGGGCAAUUUCAUUUACUAUCACUAUAAAAAAAUUUUUAAGCUCCAUGUUAUGAUGCGAUAUGUACAUUCUUGAUAAUGUAGACUUUAGGUGUUGCAACGCAUUUCCAGUUGUGUGAUUUACUUUGGGAACUUAAUCAUAGGUUUAGAUGAAAGAGUCGGUAUACAUCUAUCCGUUACACGGAAAAUCCUUCUCUGCUACUCUCUAGUUUUCUGAAAAUAAGCAAAUGAACAAUGAGGUUUGGAUAUCAACAAGCAACUUUUGGAAAAAUUAUUCUGCUAAAAACACACAUCUUUUUCCAUUCCUUCUUACUUGGUAGUUACUUUCUAGAUAUACUCUCAGAAAAAUUGGUAGCCUUGUAUUUGCCAAAUAACCAGAAUGAUAUCUUUGCAGACACAAUGAUGAAGUUUGGAUCUUUCGAGACCAUUGUGGAACUUGUGUACAAGUAUGCCGUUCCAACUCCUAAAGAGCAGUGUAGCAAACCUUUUCAGCUUGGAGUUAGCUUUGCAGGUGGUUAUGUCGCUGGCAUUUUCUGUGCUCUUGUCUCACAUCCUGCUGAUAACCUGGUCUCUUUCCUCAACAACGCCAAGGGGGCGACCGUGGCUGAUGUAAGUAAAGAUAUAUAGCAGUAUUACUUACUGCCCUUAGGUUGAAAUUGUUAUCCAUCCUGUGUUAUUUCUCAUAUGAUUUCUGCUACAAUUUAUUUGCUGCAGGCUGUAAAGAACCUAGGCUUGUGGGGUUUAUUUACUCGAGGCCUUCCUCUUCGUAUAUUCAUGAUCGGUACCCUUACUGGAGGACAAUGGGGAUUGUAUGAUUCUUGCAAGGUUGCUCUUGGAUUGUAAGUUACUCAUUAACCUUUGCUUCUGGAGUCACUUGCAUCUUUUUAUGAUCUUCUUCCUGUAUAUCCUUUUCAGCAUUUGCAUUUUCAAGUCAUUAGUCCUUUUCAUGAAUUGAUAAGAUCUCUCUACUUGUGUUUUAGUUCUUUCUCUUGUAAUGAUAUGUUGCUCUUCCUCCUGCAGACCAACUACCGGUGGUGCUGCUCCUCCUGCACCAGCAGCAAGCUUGAGGGAUUCCCUGAUGAUCUGAGAACACAAGUUCCUUAUCUCUGUAGUCAGACAUUUUUUUGUAGGCCAUUCUUUUUAGGGAUAACAUUCAAAUUGAAAAGGUCAGAGCUGCCUUCCAGGUUGGCAUUUGAUCUUCUGGGAUUUGUAAUAUCUUCAAAGGCAUCAUUGUAUUUGCUAAAUCUGUAAUAAUAUGAAAACUAUGUAAUAAUAAGAGUAAACGUUGGAGGAAAAAAAAAAAAUUUUCGAGAAUUUUCUUUCGAAGUAACAAAUGUCUCGUGUCAAAAUCCCAAGCCAGUUGAAAACCUUUACAUGUCCCCAAAGUUCUGCUGUUAGUAGGAGUGGGCAAAAUUGAAAAAUUCUGAUUUAUCGAUCGAAUUCGAAUUGAAUUUGGAAUUUUCAGAAUCGGUAAUUCGGAAUUCGGCAUUGAAAUCAGAAUUUUCGAUUUCGAAUUAUGUGAAUUUGGUUCGAAUUCAGUAACGGAGUUUUUGAAAUCAAAAUUUAUGAUUUUAAUUUUGUUUUAUAAUAUAUAUAUUUAUAGAUAUAUUUAUAUAUAUAAUAAUAUUUUUAUAAUGUAUGUAAUAUAGAAUUUAUAUUAUAUAACAAUAUAUCAAACAAAAAAAAGGGGGAAAAAGGUUUUGAAUUCGGUGAAUUCGAAAUUUAUCGAAUUUCGAAUUGAAUUCGGAACUGGUGAAUUUGAAAUCGAAUUCGAUCAAUAAUUCUACUCCCAAAUUUUCAAAAAAUUCCGAAUCCGAACUUCCGAAUUACUGAAUUCGAAUUUGUUAUACAACACUAGCUGAUAGGCUGGCAGCCGGCCCAACUAUUUCAACUAGGCCCCGCUUGAUAAGACUAAAAUCUGGUGUUCGAAGUUUGAAAGUGUUUAAAGCAUUAAAGUGUUGAAUUAAUAUUAAUAAAAUUAUGCUCCAUUUAGUUGGUUGACAACUAAUAGAAUUAUAGCACUAAAUUAAAAUAUCGCACAAAUAUUAUUAUUUUUUUUAUCUUUUAUUAAAUUGAAACAUUGCUCCGUCUAUUAUCAAGCAUGUUGAAUUCAAAACACUCCAAAUGAAUUAAUUUUCAACAGUAAAUAGAGAGUUAUGAAACAGGCCCUAAGAUUCCAUGUACCAUUUUUUAACUUUACAUAUUUGACGCAAUAGCAGAUCAACAUUUUACUUUGUAUAUAAAAGGUGUGUUAUAGUUUGGUGUAGACUUUUUUUUUUUUUUUUUUCACUUUUUAAAAAGCCCAACUUUACUCUCACAACAAACUUAAUUUUACAUUUCUAAUCUAAUCACAUAACCUUCCAGAAGCCUAUAUUGUCAACCAACACAAUCACAACUGAGUUUCACCUUCACUAUUCAAAUGCUUUUUUUUUUUUUGAGGAACUAUUCAAAUGCAUAUUAUUACCUGCAUAACUACCAAUCAACAUUAUAAUCACCAAAUUAAUUUUAAAAACCUAUUCAGAAAACAAUUAUGAAUCAAGGGUUUUUUUUUCUUUUUAAUGAAACUGUAUACUCAAUUUUUUCAUAUAAAAAAUAAUUUGUUCUAGAAUUGCACAUACAUUGAACAAUAGGGUCUAAAAGAACUCAAUUAUAGAACUUGUCACACGCAUGCUAUUAUGACCCCAUGGAAAUGGGGUAGCAUAACCGUCCUGAGCAGUUAAUGACCAUGAUUUGGUCAAAAAAUUUUGUGCGGUCCUGAUAACAAGUUAUGCAUCAAUUUUCACAUCGUGUGUGGGACCCGCAAAAUUUUGUACUAAAGUUACACGUUAUACAAAUAAAAUUACACCGCUGUUAAAAAUGGCCAAAACCGUUGAGGACGGUUGCACCCUGCCCCUUGUCCAUGACCCCAUGCUCAUUUUGUAUAGACAAAGAAGUUCCGUAAGGUUUCCUGACUGAGUCUGGUCCUUCGGGCUGCCGGUGGAAAUGUUGCUAAAUCUUAUGUCAGCGCUUUAGUGGCUAAACGGUGUUAUACACAAGGAAUUAUUUUACAAAAAAAGUUAUUUAUUUGCAUUAUAAUCAUAUUUUUAAUACAUUUCUUUUAUCUUUUUAAUAUAUUUUUAUCUCAUAUAUAUUAUAUUAUAAAAAAUAUUAUAAUAAUUAUUUUAAAUAAUAUUUUAAAUAAUCUCUUAUCCCUAACAUUUUGUAGUAUUUGUUAACGUGAAUGACAUCCUGUCGAGAAUGUAAGUAUAGUCUAACUAUAUGACUAAAAAAAAAAAAAUUUCCCCCAAUUUUUUUUAUUUGAUUGGAAUGAUGCAUAAAUUUUUCAAAAUGAAAAGAAUUACUGGAGAUAAAAUUGUUCUACAAAAUCCUUCAAAAAGGAACAAAGGGGAAAAAAAAAUUCAGGGACAAAGAAUGAGAAGACUUUGUGAAGAACACGGGGCGUCUGCAAUCUUAAAAUAUUCAAAAGCUAUUCAAACACAGGUCAACAAAAAAGAAAAGUCAAACUCAAAUACGGAAUGAGUGAGGAAGCCAACUCCCUAACGGCCCCUAUAAACCGCGCGAACAGUGGACUGACACCCCUUACAAUCCGCAUCCAAAAGGCCUUGUUAAUUUCAUCUUCCUCCCCUCUUCCCUCCCUCUCCAACUCUCCCGGACAGCCCUUCUUCUUUUUCUUGGGAUUUCUCUCAAUUCUAUCACCAAAUAAAUCUACACAAAUCAUCCCACUUCCUUAAACUUCCCAAAAAAAAAGAGAGUAAAAAGUAAGCCAAAAAACUGGUUUCAAGAAAGAACAACACUUCAGUACUACUAUUCGAUUGCAGAGCUGACUGUAUUCACUAGCAAUGGCUGUUUCAGACAAGUUUCAAAGAGCAUCUUUGAUCCCAUCUUUUGUUUAUUCUCCUCCUUCGUUGUCGUCAAGGGGAUUGAUUGAUGUGGAGAGCCCUUUUCUGAUGUCUAGUGCUUCAUUUUCGCACUCCAGUGUUUCAUCAUCAGCACGGAAUGAAGGGAUUGUGAAGAAAGAUUUUGUGAUUCCAGCGCCUAAUGAGCCCACUGGAAAGAUUAAGAUGUUUUCGCCCGCUUAUUAUGCUGCUUGCACUGCAGGAGGAAUUUUUAGUUGUGGGCUAACUCAUAUGGCUGUCACCCCUCUUGAUCUGGUCAAGUGUAAUAUGCAGGUUAAUAACUUCAUUCAUGACGAUGCACUGUUUUAUUUUUAUUUUUUCAUUCUCCUUUUCGGAUUAUCUGUUAGGCUCUAUUUUGCAUUGGAAUCAAUGUAGUAAGGGUGUCCGUGAAAGAGAUGCGAGAUAAGGAAUUUUAUUAGAUUAGGUAGAGAAAUUAUACUAAGCAGUAAGUUUAGACUAUUAGAUCUUGGUUCUUUAUUGUAAUUGUUAUUGAAUUUUAUACAUUUUAUUUUAUACUAUAUUAAGUGAGAAAUAUACUUGCGAUAUAUUUACAUUUAUCUUGUAUUUAGCAUUUUAUCAAUGAUUCCAAAAUGUAAGAGAAGAACUGAACUAUCUUGAGCACCAAAAAAAAAAAAAAGCCUUUUGGGGAUUUCUUCAUUUACCUUUCCCUUCCUUUGCUGAAGGUAAUAGCUAUCGUUACUUUGUUAAUGCAUUCUCAGUUCUACGUUUGUACAUGAUCAGAAGCAGUUGUUUUCUCUGCUGGAAAAAAAUGAUUAGAUGCAAAAAUUGAAACAGAAAUUUCAUGUUGUGCAAAUAUGUAGGUGAAUCAUUGUUAUAGGAGUACUUCUAAAGCCAUGCCAUUUGCCUCUUUAGUGCUUCUAAUUUGUGUGGCAUAAUCUUUAAUCCACUCAUUGUCUGAAUUUGUAGUAAGAUGCAUUAGGUAUCUUAGUAUUAUAUAUAUAAAAAAAGAAGGUAUAUUAGUGUUUGUUUUUUGGAAGAAACAGUGGUGGUAUGUCACCAGGAUUCAGCCAUAAAACAUCAUGCAAUUAAUUAAAUCUUUAUUGUUCUUCUGUUAAGCUAAUGGUGUAGUAAUUGAAUUAACUUGAUAAUCCUUAUGUAUUCAGAUUGACCCUGCAAAAUACAAGGGCAUUACUUCUGGUUUCGGUGUUUUACUCAAGGAGCAAGGUGCAAGAGGUUUUUUUAGGGGUUGGGUGCCAACCCUGCUUGGUUAUAGUGCUCAGGGAGCUUGCAAGUUUGGAUUCUAUGAAUUCUUUAAGAAAUACUACUCUGAUAUUGCCGGUCCUGAGUAUGCAGCCAAGUAUAAAACUUUGAUCUACCUUGCUGGCUCUGCAUCUGCUGAAUUCAUUGCUGAUGUUGCCCUUUGUCCCUUCGAAGCAGUUAAGGUUCGUGUCCAGACUCAACCUGGAUUCGCCAGAGGCAUAUCAGAUGGACUUCCCAAGUUUAUCAAGGCUGAAGGUCCACUUGGGUAAGGUUUUCGUUACCAUGUCAAGUAGUUAAUGCAGUUUGUCAUUCUCCUGAUACAGUUGAAGGCCUCUUUUAUGGAUUAUAUAAUGUUACUCAUAGAUAAUUAAUUUUUUUUGCAGGCUUUACAAGGGGCUUGUUCCUCUAUGGGGACGACAAAUUCCAUGUAAGCUUCCUUGUUUAUACUCUUUCAUUAUUUUUAUAUCUUGAAGUGAUAUUCUUCGCCAUUGCCUAUUCUGUCGUGGGCAUGCUUUUGCCGGUUUAAAGCUUUAGUUCACUUUUUCUAAUGAACUAUGAUCCAUUUUACUCUGCGUCUUAACUUGUAGUAAGGUUUUUAGCAUUCACAACUGCAAGCUAUUUCCAAUACAAGAAUACUUCCCAGUCUAUUUUGCUGAUAUUUUUCUGUAACAAGUAUAAUUAGCUUUUAGCAUGAGGCUUUCAUGUGCAUGCCAUAAACAGUUAUCUUCUGUAACAUCUUUAUUUGCAAAAAAUGUGUUCCCAUGCACAGACAUGAGCUCGCUGAUAACCUGCCUUUUAAGUUACGGUCAAAUUUGACUUGAAAUUGAGAGACUCAAUUGACAUAUAAAUUAACUGCAUCAUGUGUUUCUGUUUAAUUUAUGAUCAAAUUUUAUCCUGAGAAAAUGGCAUUAUAUAAGCUUCCAGUAAAAAUUCAUUAUUUAAUCUCUACAUUAUGAUACGAUAUGUACAUUCCUCGCAUUGUAGAAUUUGGGUGUUGAAAUUGCAGUUGCACCAUUUGCUAUACAAACUUUAUUCUUUGAUUUUGAUGGCAGAUUAAGUGUACAUCUUUUAGUAUAAUGGAACUCCUACUCUGACAGCUAUGUAAGAACAUUAAGUCCUAUUCUGUGAGCUUGAGUAUUGAAAAGCAUUUCGCCCUGCAUUACAUAAAUAGUCACUAGAUAUAUCCCAGGCAAAGUUUGGUUCUUGAUAUAAAUAUCCAAGAAAGGUUGGCAAUAAUUGGAAUGGUACUUUUGCAGACACAAUGAUGAAGUUUGCAUCUUUUGAGACCAUAGUGGAAUCUUUGUACAAAUAUGCCAUUCCAACUCCUAAAGAGCAGUGUAGCAAAUCCUUACAGCUUGGAGUUAGCUUUGCUGGUGGUUAUGUGGCUGGCAUAUUCUGCGCUAUUGUGUCACAUCCUGCUGAUAACCUGGUCUCUUUCCUCAACAAUGCCAGGGGGGCAACCGUGGGUGAUGUAAGUAAAGAUUUAUCACCAUCCUUAAAUCGAAAUUGUUAUCCUUCCCCUGCAAUUUCUUAUAUCAUUUCUGCUACAAUUUAUUUGCUGCAGGCUGUAAAGAACCUAGGCUUGUGGGGUUUGUUUACUCGUGGCCUUCCUCUACGUAUAGUCAUGAUUGGUACCCUCACUGGAGCACAAUGGGGAAUCUAUGAUGCUUUCAAAGUUUUUGUUGGAUUGUAAGUUCUCUACUUUUGCUUCUGGAGUCACUUGCAUCCUUAAUUUUCUCUUUCUGUAUAUCCAUCCAUUUUCAGCAGAACCAUACACAAGUCAUUGGUACUUCUCAUUAAUCUUUAACACAUGUAGUUGCAUUUAAUUUCUUUUUCUUAUAAUGAUACGUUUCAUGAAAUGUUGUUGUUGCUCCUGCAGACCAACUACUGGUGGUGCUGCUCCUCCCGCACCAGCAAAAGCUUGAGGGAUGACCUGAUAAUUCACGAUCAUAAGUUCCUUUCCUUUCUGUUUCAAUCAUUUUUUCGAUAGGUCAUUCUUUUUAGCAAAAUCAGUUAAAAGGACGAAGUUACCUUCGAGGAUGGCACAUGAUCCUGGUGGGCUGUGAAAUCUGUUCAAGGCCUUUCAUUAUAUUAGUUGCCAUUCUCAUAAGUUUUGUAGUUAUAACUUUUUUUUCCUGAGGACGAGCUUCAGUCACCCUCCAAACAACAGAAGGCUUUACUUACAAGCUGUAAAGUUCAGUGUUUGCUAUCAGUUAUAUAGAUUUGAUUUGACAUUGCAUUCAUUUUCUCCUUGGAAUGCCUAAUGACUUAACAUUCGACAGAAUGAAUUCCUCGAUGUAGUAUAAUUUUGCACGACACCAUAUGCAAGAACUCCCCAACUCAACUGUAGGUUUUUCAAUGUCUCAACAUUCUUGAGAUGUCUAGGAUUUGCUACUUUUAGAACAUCCCCUCAAUCAUACUACAUAAAAGUUCCCUCGGCUCAGUUGGACCACUCCCUACAAUAGGCUCCACCCCACCCCACCCCACUCCUCGAGCAGAAGUAGAAAUAAACUAGAUUAGGUUAAAUGUGCCGUUACGUAAACAAAAAAAAAUACUACAUAAAGGUGAUUCUGCAAGCUUCUUCUAUGUUACCCUUACAAGAGUACAGUAAUCCAACCAUAUAAAAAAUGUUCUGUUUUAGGUUUAUCAUCAGAUAUUUUAAACUGUUUUACUAGAGUACCAUUUAUGAUAACUAUCAAAACAUGACCCGACCCAUCUACCCAUUUUCAAAACUUCUUUAACAAAUUAUUCAUCAAAUGUAGAACCAAUUGUUAUAAAAAUAAUUUUUACAAAUAACGCGCGUUUGUUUUGGGUACAAAAUGUCACGGGUUCAAAUCCUGUCAUCCCUACCUAUUACUGCUCCUUUGAGCAGUAACGAGGGAUCGACUGAGAUCGAUUCGAAUUGGAUAUAAUCUUUCAUUUUUGUGUUUAUGAUACUAUCCAUACAAAAAGUAUUGGGGUUAUAAAUAAAUCCUUUUCUUUACAGCCUUGUCUGUUCGGAUAAAAAAGCGCUCUUAGUUUAGUUCGGUAGAACGUGGGUCUCCAAAAUCCGAUGUCGUAGGUUCAAAUCCUACAGAGCGUGGUUUUUUUAUUCUUAGAUCUGAACUAGAUUCAGUAACAACUUGGACAUCAAUUAGGAAUUUGACCCCCUAUGGAUUAAAUAAAAGAAAAGGAGGAGGUCAAUCAAAAAAAGAUAUAUUAAUUAAUCAAAGGGUAAUAAGGUUAUAAGGUAAAAAGGUCAAAAGGGUUUCCACUAUUUUUUUUUUUUUUCAUUCCACGGGACAAAACUUUGCCUUUCCAGCUAUGGGAGAGAAUAACAGCAAAACCAAUCUUUAGAUUUUCUGUCGUCUAAUAUGCACCUACUACUGUUUGAGGUCUAUAGGGUACAAGGCAUCAAAAACAACUCGUGCGAAGACAUGACGAACUUCUUGUAGGCUUCCCAAAGCCAACAACUCAUGAUGAAUCUUGCUUCCUUGCUUUGGCACAAAUCCCCUCUCUUUUCCAGCUCGAACACAUUCAAAAAUCUUGCACACCUUUAGAUAUAGAGCUAAUGGGAUAAAUACCUGCAGGGGAAAAGUAAAAAUAUUUCAGCAUUGGUCUCACCAACUCAACAAUUGGAGCUCAUGCCUCUAGUUUGACUAAUACCAGAUCAUGCCCGUGCAGAACAGACUUAAAAACACAUUGAUUUACAAUAUUGACUUCAGUGAAGCAUCUAAGACUCCCAAAUCACCAUUCAAACCCACAUGAAACUCGUAGACGAGCUUCCACUCAGCAAAGAAGACAGACAUCAUAUGCUUGAGGGAGAAAAAAGAGGAUUUACUGCUUACAAUAUCUGAAUAUGGUGCCUUGGGAUAUUGAGCCAUUGCCCGCGAAACAGAGUAUUCGUCGGUCAUAUUAGCAAGUGUGUCCUGAACUAAAGCAGCCAAAUGCUUAACUUCUGCUACUAAAGAAUCGAAGUCAAGAUCCUGAGGUUCUAAUAAUUCAACGAAAUUGGUAUCAUGCCGUCUUGUGAUCCUUUUUGCAAUAUCUGAUGCUUCAGACAAAUCUCCCCCAUUGUUAACAGCAAGGCAGAAUGCAGCAACUACUGAAGGGUCACUUGGGUGAUCAAACAGUGCUCUGUGGAAUACUAAUAAUGCAACCCUGGAACACAAAGAUUUCAUAAGAGCUCAUUGCAGGUCAAGUAACAAGAUCCUAAGCCUUUUAAUGCAUUCCUCCUCCACCACUACACCUUCCAUUAACAUAACAUUUUCUACCAGGUACUUUUCCGCCGACACUCAUAAGACAUCUAUCUAGUAAAGCAAGACAACAUGAUCUGCACUCUCAUACACCAGCUGUAUAAAAAUUCUAAGAAUUUGAAACGAUGGCAUGAAAGGAAAAGAAACAGAGAGAACUUCUUUUAUUCAAAUAAAAACUAAUUUGAAAAAAUGAGCCCUCGCAGGAAAUCUGCAGUUUAGUCCACACAGGUUUGAUUUCACCCCAAUUGGCUCCUAUAUUAUGCAAAUUAGACAGUUUUAGUCCAUUAACUAUUUGAUGCUCUUUUACUGAAGAUUCUUGAAGGUUGGGUUUGUCAACAGCAAACCGAAUGGGAAAAGGCAUCUCUUUACCAGCAGCUCAUGUUUUAGAUUGAUAAUUAAAUUAAUUAUUUAUCAUACACGUUAUACUAAACCACAAUAAUAUUUUCUAUUUGUAUAAAAGCUAAUAACAUUAAAAUUAUCAUUUGCUACCAUAGAAUGCAAUAACUCAGCUAAAGCGCUUAAUAAAAACCUUACCAUAAACUACUGUGACAAGGCCUGUCAGGUGCCAAACAUUUAUCCAGGCUGGAAAAUAUAGACUGCAGGAAAAUCCACACAAAAAAGUCACAUACAUGUAUCCAUGUGUAAAUGAAUUCAGGAACAAAAAGCAACCGAAAAUCACGACAUACCCAUGCGACAGACACAGAAGUGGGAAUAGCUAAAACUAGAAGGUGGGCCAUCGUUUACUUUGUUUCUAUUGCAUAGUGUAUUGCUAUAUCAUAUGAUAUAAUCAUAUUGGAAUCAUGCAGUCAAUCAUUUUUCCACCCGAAAAGGGUUGUCAACAUCAACAAAAAUUAUCAGACAUUUAUACGACACUGCAAUUAGGCAUCUAGCAACAGGCAUAUUAUAUUUGAUAUAGUUCAAAAAAACUCCUUUUUUGCAUACUGCAAAGAGUGACAAAAUAUAUAUAAGUCUAAAAUAAUUCUAGUGUUCAUCAAAAUCAAAAAGUGCUCAACAAGUUGAACAGAAGUCAAAAGGAACGAGUAUAAUAUUUUCUUGUAGUCUGUAACUACUCAAGAAAUGAGCGCAUGCCAAUUUUUCUUUCCAAAGAACCCAGGAAAUGUUUUCAUUAGCCUUUGUACAAAAUCAAAAUUGAAAAAUAUAGUUCAAAAGGGCAUUUUCAAGGAAUUGGUGUUGCCAAGUCUGCAGGUCAAAUCCAACACAGGGAUAAAAAGUUGGAGAUGGCCUUUCCACAGUAUUCCAAUGUACCAAAUGGGCUAUUAACUUCUAAAACUGCGACACUAGAAAAAGGGACUAUAUGUUGUCAAAUGAAAAGAUAACAAGCCGCAUUGAAUCUAUAUAAAGGCAUUAAAACUUCAAGUUCCCUUGAGUCUUCAUUCUAACUCUAUCAGGCAGCAGGUAGUUUCAAUUCCUAAGCAGCUUAAAAAAUUGACAAAAUCCAUCUGAGUUAUAAGGUUUGAAAACCUCACCCACAAAAUAAGCUUGCAUCGAGAAUGAUACUAUUUUAGAAAGAGCAAGAAACAAAUGGUAAAACAAUUUGUAAAUGUUAAAGAAGAUCCUAAAAAUUUCUAAAAGAAAAAAGUACCAAAAGCAUGUUGGACCUCUUGUCGCGUCUACGGAAUCCACUAUCGACAAAAUAGGCUGCCUGCAUUUUGAAGCUGCUUUAGAAAUAUGCUUCCCAUGGAUACACCUAAAAUGUUGGCAACUUCAAAUUUAUACCUGUAUUGGUAAAAGAAUUUCCAAAAGGCCGAAUCUCCAUAAUAACCUUAACGAUGAUUCUGCAGAACCAUAAGCUAACAUGUAGUUCAUCUCCAUAAGGAGCCUUCCCUAGGAAAAAUUGGAAUUAAGAAAGAAGUCAUAAUACAUUUCGAAGUGAAAAAAAAAAAUUAGAGAAACAAAUAACAUGCCAAAAACACAUUCCCAAUACCCUGUCCAGCCUUAGAAUUGAAGAAGUCAACUUUUUAACAGAAAGAGCCGUGUCCUUUGCAAAUCGAAAUUGUAAACGUGCACCAAUUCUAAUAGCACGGAGAAUGCGAGCUGCAAACGUAAGCAGAAAUUACAACCAAUAAAAGGAAAAAAAAGUGAGGCAGAAAUGAUGCUGAGGCCAAAGACUAACGUGUUGAGUUCCAAUGUGCAAAUUCAGAAAUUCACAAUGAUUUCCAUAGAGAUACUUACCACAAUCUUCAGUCAGAGAAAAACUAGCAGGAAUGAUAGUUCGCACCUACAAAAGAAAAUGUGAUGUUAGAUCACUGUGUAAGGGUGAAAGUUAGUAGAUGAGAAAAAUGAAACUCCUCAGAGAUACAUGCACACUUUAGCUUUCCUAAUGUCUUCCACUCCUCCGAUGUAGUCAUAUAUCAACUUUGCAUAAGGGUCAAACAUCAAUCUGCAAAAAUGAAAAAGGAGUAGAAGGGGGUUUUAGAUAUAAAAUGGAAGUAAAGUAGCAAAUUUGAAAAGUCCUCAGUACCCUCAGCCUACCCCAAAAAGAAAAACUGCAGGGGGGUGGUGGGGUGAUUCUUCUGACAAAAUUUAUACUUAUAUUUCAGAAAGUAAUGGUCAAAUCCAAAACCCGUUUAUUGUGAAGUCUCUUUUCAAGCAAUUUCUCCAGCGAAUGUAGUCUUUCUCGUUACAUCCGACAGGCUUUUCAAAAACCAAACUGAAGUCCCUUCUAGAAUUUCUUCCACAAGUGCUAAAGCUUGAAACCUGUUUUAUUGAAAUUAAUCUGAAUUAUAUCAAGAACAUUUUAUUGAAAAAGUAUAAAUGAUACAUAAAUAGCUGAUAUACUUUGUCGCUUCUAAUAAAAAACCAAAUUGUCAAACCUCUACAAUAUUGUCACCAAUAUGAACAUGGCAGAUAGGAAAACGUUUCCCAAUUAUUUCACAUCGUGAAAAUGUUCUCAUCACCUGCAAAAUGAAGGCUAUUAUCACAGUGCAAAUUUUUUGUUACUGUAUUGACAAAUAAGUACAUAGAGGGAGCUAUAUUGGCAAAACUUAUUCUCUAUGUUAUGAAUGCAGUAUUUUUAAAUUCAGUGAGGACCUACAAAUAGAUCCUCAAAACUUCCACAAGGCUUGGAAAUAUUAGCAGUUCAACAUAUAGCCUAUUCUUUCAUUGCACAGCAAUUGUCUAGUUUGACUACUCAUGGUUUUCCAAGAGAAAGAAUAAGCCGUACUAAACAAUGACAAAUCACCAACAUAUGACCCAGAAAACUUUCAGAACCAAUGCAACUUUUGCAUGUGUGUAAAUUGUAAAGCAAGUAAAUGGUACUCUCCAUUUUUGAGAAGCAGAUAUUAUUUCGGAUAAUCAAAGCAUGAGAAUUGCAUUUAAAUUUGAGAUGGUACCCAAUAACAUUUUUAUUUCUGACAUUAUGCUGUAAGAGGUAAAUCCAAAAUUUUCCUGGCACAUCACCAAAUCCACAUUAUAUCCAUAAGAGUCUGGGGGUCAACUUAUCAGCCUUCUGGUACCUUGGCUAAGGCAAGACCGACUAUUAAAAGCCCACUAGAAAAUAAGCUGAAUGGUCAUGAACAGAAUGAAAACCAGAGGAAAUGAAAAUCCAAGAUCAAGAGAGUGAUGCCCUACAGGAAAUCAAGCCAUUCUUAUUGAGCUAAACUUGUUUUUGAAAGUCCACUUCCUAAUAUAGAAUAUACAAAGUUUGAAAAGCCCAUUGGUAUUAAUCACAGAAAAAAUGGCCGUUAGCAAAGAAAUACUCCUUGUCUAACAUGAUACAAGGAAGAGAGAAGUCAAGACUAACCUCUUUAAGUUCAGCUGAAGUAAUGAUAUCGAAAUCCUUUGGAGUUUUUCUCAAUAUAAGAUCCCUUACACAACCUCCCACGAGGUAAACUUCAAAUCCUACAAUAAAUGUUAGGAGGAUUUCCUUAGGAAAACUAGAACAGUACUGGAGAACGUGUGUGCUUUUAUCAAAUGAUACAUCACCACACACAUAUGCAGACAAAGAAAAAAAAAACAAAUAAAAUACCAGGAAACGGAGUGCUCUAUUCAUGAUAUCAAAUGUCGAAAACAACACAAAUAAAACUGAUGAAACCUAAAACUCUAUAAUCACCCCCGUCCACCCUCACCCCCCCAAAAAUAAAAAAAAAUAUGACAUUCAAUUGUAAUUCCUCUCUCUCUCUCUCCGUGUGUGUGUGCAUUUUUUUUUUUUAUAAAAAUUUUGACAAAACAAUUUCCAAACAAUUUCCACAAUUAUCAUCUAGUGUAGUGUCAGUUGAUGAUCCUAAAAGCCGAACAAGUUGUCGGAUUCUUUCAUCUACAUAGCAAUAGUGAAUCACACUUGAACUUUUUUACCCCAGCAAAAGUCGUCAAGAUCAAAUUUCUGAGCUAGCAAUGUCCAUUUGAAUUCAUUCUAACACUUGAACUAUAAAUUCCCAAUACAAUACAAAGCCCAUUUCAGUUAUACGCACAAAAUAGUCGCACCUUUUCUUUUGAGACCAUUAAGAACCGCCCUCGUUGGCCUUGGAAUCAUCGAACUACGAAUUCCGAGGUCCGCAGAAUUCAACUUUUUCCAUUGGGAUGCCUUCUGACCAUCUCCACCAAUCCUUUCACUAUCUUCAUUUCCACCAACCCAACACAAAAUCAGGGGAAAAAAAGACAAAAUAAAAACUUCACAAAGAACAAAAACCCACCAAUGAAAAAAAAAAAAAAAAACUAAUCAUACAUAACCAUCAUUGAGAAUUAAAAAAAAGAAGAAAAGUUUAAAAAAUUACUUCUCUGGUUUUCUGCCUCAUCAAUUGUCUCCAUUGCUGCUGCACAGCUCAAACGUACCUACAGAAAUUAAAAAAAAAAAAAGAAAAGAAAAGGGAACAAGAACAAAACUUUAGCAAUAAUUAAAGAUAAAAACAAUUAUUAAAUAAAUAAAUGAAAAAAUACAUAUAUAUACUACUUGAUGAAGGCAAAGGCGGAGAGGACAGCGGAGGGAGAUAUAAGGGCGACAAGAAUAUCCGAAAGCAGUAGAAAUUGCCAUUGAUGAAAUGUGUUUUUUUUUUUUUGGGGUUUAAUCAAAAAGACAUUUCUAAGCAGUAGAAAUUGCCAUUGAUGAAAUGUGUUUUUUUUUUUUUUGGGGUUUAAUCAAAAAGACAUUUCUUUCCUUGUUUUAGUAGGAAUUCAAUUUAGGGGGAAUCAGGGUUCAGGGUUUUAGAACAGUGAACUACUGAAAGUAAAGGAAAGUUUGAAAUUUUGAUGAAAAGGGAGAAAAGGGAGAAAAUGAAUUGGAGAUAAGGUUUAAGGAAGUGAUUUGGGCUUUGAUGUUUUUUCUGGGGCUGGAGAUGGGCUUGACAAGAGUUAAGAAAACUGGUUUUUAAGCACCUUGGGCUCAUACUAUUAUGGCUUUAGGUGUAGUUGCGUCCAUUUCUAUAUUUGACUUGGGCUUUUAAAGUUGUUUGCCCAACUUAGUGAAGUGUGUUUUGAGUGAUUCAUUGCAAUCUGGGCCUCCAUCUCGCCCACGAAGAGAAUUGGUCCUCUAUGUUUACAAGCUAGUUCCAACCAGUCUAGACAGUUGGGAUACGGGGUUUAGGCAAGUGGAAGUGGAAUCUCACUCUUCGCUUGCUUGGAAUUCAUCUCAUUCAGGAUGUGCCAACACAAGUUAAUUCAGUUAUGAAUUGAAUUAGGUAGUAAUGUAAAAGGAAUUAUAAAUAGAAAAUCUUGUGUUCAAAACAUUUCACUUAUUUAAAAAAAAAAAAGUAGGCUCAAUUGGUAAAGAUGAGCCACUUUCUUAUAAAAGGUUACAUGUUUAAAUAUUACUGCUAACGUGAGAGCUGUAUUGGUACAUGAUCUGUGAAAAUCCUUGUAAAUGAUCUCCCCCAUAAGUAACCUAUAGUCUUGGAAGCAUGCCUUAAUCUAUGAUGAUGACUGGAGUCGAAUAUACACGAACAUUUUAUAUAUAUAUAUAAAAAAAAAUUAGAGAUGUUGACAAGGAUCAUAUAGUCAUUUCAAUUUGGCAGGGAAAGUUAGAGAGUAAAUGUAUCAAGAUUGGGAAUGCCAUUAAAACGUCUUUGGCACAAAGGUAACAUGUGUGCAGAUAUUCUUGCAAAGACUAUUCUUAAUUUCUAGUUGGAGUUGCACUCUUUUCAGAUCCUUUUGAUGUUAUCAAAUCUCUCUUAGGAGCAUAUAAUUAGAUGUUGGUCAUAUUAGCGAAUUUUAGCUGUCUUAAGGCAUUCCUUUUGAUCCCCUAAAAAGAGAAAAAAACAUUAUAGGUAGUGAUGAAUCUGCCAAAUGAGUAUGAUUUAUUUCUACUAACAGUACCUAAAGUUUAUCUUAGACAAUAAAUCCAUGACGCAUGUUCAAAAAAAUAACGCUUAAAAAUUUUCUUAAAGGUUGAAUCAUCUUACACCCUGUGAAAUUGCAAGUUGCAACUAAAGUACAAAAUAUUUCUCGACCGAAAAUGAAAGAUGUAAAGUGCAAAACUAACAGAUUCUCACAUUGAAUUUUGUGUAAAAGGAGACAUUGUUAAACUGGGUAAAAGGCAGAAUCGACACAAAAGAAACAAAGCUAAGUAUAAGAUCUACCACCCCUAAGUCCUCACAGGAAUUUGUGGUAAAAUGUUACCACGUCCCAAAAAACCAAAAAGAUCAGAAGAGCAAAGCAAGAAAGGAAAAAGACCCGUGCGCUGAAAGGACUGAAAAAUUAGGCUCAACUAGAAGACUGUCACCUUUCACCUUUGUUGUUUUUGAAUUUUUCUUUGUGGUAUCCAACUGUUUUUCCGUUAGUUAUCAUAAAAAAAGAAGACCAAAGUACGAAAGCACGGAACUUUUUGUUCUUUUCGAAAAACAAAAAAUCGUUUUGAUAUCUCUCUAAACUUGUAUCAUUAUCAAUCAAAAUUGACAUGCUUGUUUGGUCAUUCUUCUUUUACGAUAAAAAUUGAUUUCCCAGCCAGCUCUAUUCAUGUUGCAUGCGACUUCCAAGUUGCAAUCACAAGGACAACAACAUUUUUUUUGAAUAACAACAUUGAAUCUGCAUUCCGCGUACUAGGGAUAAGAUUUAUAGCUGCAUGCAUUCAUGAAAGAUUGAUUUGACGGCUUGAAAUAGUUUCAUCUCUUAGGACCAUUUUCGUUCUUGAUUUUGGCUGCCUUUGAAGGCAAUUUCCCAGAAGAAGAAUUUGUGACUAUAGUUUUGUCAUAUAUAUGUUUUGGACCACUGUCUAGAAUAUUUUAGGUACGUACGGGCAAGAAAUAUUUGCUACCUUCUUUCAAAUCAGAUGUAUGUGUUUGUUCCUUCUUUCCCAUCAAACAUGUCACGAUUUUCUUUCCAGAAAAAAAAAAAAAAAAAAAAAGCAACUGCUAGGGUUCUAAUUUUCAAACAACAUCAAGAUACGGAGAACAUAAGCUAGGCUAUACAGAUGAUACCUGAAGAUGCUAGUAAUGGAGCAAUGGAGGUAGCAUGCUAGUUGAAAGCUAUUCGACUAUAGUAUCUUUAGUUUCAAUCCAAAGAUAAUAGCCAGUAAUUAACAAUAUUCUGUACUUGAUUGGCACAGAGCAGGCAGGUCAAUGAGCCUCUAGAUGGACAAGAAUAAAGAUCAACUGCAUGAUGGAAAAUACUGCUUAUGUCAACGUCUAUUUACUCCUCUAGCUAGCUUUUAAAUCUACAAAGAAAAAGUUGUGGAAUACGCACUUGUUAGCUUUGAGAGGAUAAUGGUAGACUUGUUUGGGAAAAAAAUAAGUGAACUUGAAACACUUGAGUAUAAGAUUCUCUCUUGUUGCAUAUCAUCAGUGGAUAAGAUUCUCACUUGGUUGGUUUCAGCCCCUCUAAAUUGGAUAACAAUAUGUAAGUAGGAAAAAAAAAAAAGGGACAGAAUAGACUGCAAACAAUAUAAGUAGAAACUCAAGUCGGAGUUUUGUUAUUAAAUGUUCAUGAAUGAAUUUUGGACGGUCCAAUAGGUUCCAGGCACUUGACAUUUGCGCAUGAAAUUUCGUUAUCCAAGGAGAAUUUUGUGUUCCUGCAGCAAACGCCAGAAAUGUUCCAUCAGCUGGAUGCAUAAAUCUACUUCUUGUCCAUGUCUGUGUAUAGUUGUGUGCAUGGUGGCUGCUAAGAGUUGGUUUCCAAAUUGCCUUUCUCCCUUAAAUUUUCUAUGCAUAGAGCUUUUCGUAUUCGUACGCAUCCACUGGAUGUUACAACUUGAAGAAAUUGGUAGUAACAAUUUACAAGUGAAUUUCCUUAGCUAGAGAUUUUGAUGGAUGAAUAACUAACAAGUUAAGAAAGAAAAUUCUGGGCAUAACUUGGAAGUACGUGAUAUUAGGAAAAACUGAAAUGAUGUAUGGCUGCUGCAUUAUAUUGACAGCACAGGCAUGUGUGAUUAGCUCAUAGGUGAAGAAGCUUGGGCACCUUUAGGAGGGCCUGAAGGGCUGAACUCAAGUUGGGCUGCCCCGUUACUUCUCCUACUGCACAAGCUAUCUCACGUUAAUAAUUUGUGGAAGGCCAAAACUAAAUUUGGUACAAUAAUAUGAGAAAGAAAAGUAUAUAUAUAUAUAAAAAAAAAAGUUAAGGUAAACUUUGUCUCGUACUAUGCAUCACACUCACUAAGAAUAUAAUGGUAGAAUUUUUUUUUUUAAUUUUUUGUUAGUAAUUAAGAGUGACAACAGCUGAUAAAUCGAUUUUCUUACUCAUGCAUGAAAGGAAAGAGAAACUAGAUUAGUUGCAUUCGAUUUGAUAUUGGUUCUAUAAGAUUUCGAUUGAAUUUAAUUUAUCAUCAACUAAUCAAAUUACACGUCAACAAACAUUAGUUGUCAUUGAAGUUUUUGAGUACAGCUUGAAUUCAACUCCACAGAGCAUAUAUAGUACUGUGAAACUUAUAUGUUCAAAACACUUGAAUUCAGUUUCGUAAGAACAUGUUAAACUUCAAUCGGUUAAAGAAAAAUCAAAUUGAUUAAGUUGGUUCAAACCCUUAUCCUUAACCAUUGACUUGGUUAACAAUUGGUCCAUGUGCAAACUAAAAGGAAAAAAUCUAUAAGAAGUAGGGUAGGUUCACCCACAUCCUGUGCUAUUUCUCCUACAUAAACAUCACGGUUUAGUUCUUUUUUGCUUUCUUAAAAUUCAAUAAGUAUUAAUUGAAUAAAAAAUAAAUACAGUAGCUUCAAAAAAGUAAUAUAUAAUAGAAAAUUAAAAAAUACAGCAGAAAAUUCAUAAAAAAUCUCAUUUUUUUUUUAUGUAUUUUGGUUUUUUGAGUUUGUUAAAUUUUGUGUAUUACUCAAUUAAUAUUUAUUGGAUUUUAAGGAAACAAAAAAAAAAUUAAAACAUGAUGUUUAUAUAGGAGAAAUAGCAAUAUAAUAAAAAGUGGGACAGAGAGUAACACAGAGUGUGGGACAGAAGAUCGGUUGCGAGGUUCACUCCAUCCUUUUUGUUUUUGUUUUUUUUUUCCCUCUGUUUCUCUCCCUCGUCGUUUUCUUCUUCUUCUAGUUAUUGCUUCUGCUCCUUAUUUCGCGCUUCCUGUCCCGGACCAAUCUUAUCCAAGAAUGGCCGUUGUUGAGUUUCCUUCUUCCAAAUUACUUCCAUCAUUUUUCUCAUGAACAGAUUUGCCAUUUUGUCUUGGUCUUGAAUGACAAAGCAUUUAUCAUUCGUCAUUUAUCCAGGUCUUCAUCGAAGUCUCUAUAUUCCCAUCUGGCUAGCACCAAAGUCUUUGAUUGAUCCCAGAAGUUUGACAGUUCAAUUUAUCCAGGUCUUCACUUACUGAGCUUUAAAUGUGAGGGCCAUUUGAGUUCUGCUAUUUUCUGUGAGCAUGAGGCUGACCCUUUUAGCCCAAAAAUGUGCUACCAAACAAUUCAUAACCACCAAAAGUUUCGUUAUACUCAAGAAAAUCUACUCCUUUUUUUGAAACUUGAGAUAAAUGGGGCCAUUAGGUCUAGAAUUUCAUUUCAGUCAGGUAAUGUAACAUUCGCCUAAAUGGAAAUUAGCUCUCCCUUCAGAACCAUUCCUAUAAUAAGAUAAGACAGUGAAGACCACCCCAUCAAUACGCUUUGGUAGAAUCAUUUAAAUUAAAAUAAUUUCUUUUUUUGUCCGGUGCAUUAAUUGGGAUUCAUUGAACUCUUUCCAAAAGUUCACAAUUCAGUUAUCCAAGUUUUAGAAACUCUGUAUAUAAAGUCUUCAAAGUCAAUUCUAUAAAUCAAUUUCGUUCAUUUGGACCCUAAAUUUUUUCUUAUCUCUCAUUUCAUGUGUACUCCACAAAAUAUUUUUAAUAAAAUUGAUAAUCAUUUUGUCAAAGAAGAUCUAGUUACGCACAUCACAGUAAGACUUUAUAAUUAAGUGAAGUAUGCAUUCGAGGUAGAGAAUCCAUUGUUGAUAAUUAUAAAGCUAUAUUUUGUUUCUUCGAUUACACUUUGAAGUUAUAUAUGCGCUUAUAAUAUCUGAUACACAAUAAGAUUUCGGGUCAAAUUUUAAUUCUCAUUUUGGUAUAGGAAUAGGAACCAAUUGAUCGACUAAAUUGACUCCAUUGUUUAAAAUAUAUAAGACUUAAAUGAAGAGAAAUUCAAGUGCAAGAACUCAAUGUUGGAAUAUUAUGAAACCAAACCGCUAAGGCUCUGUUUGAUUAGAAGGAAAGUUAUACGGGAAAGUGAAGUGAAGGAAAGUGAGGUCAAGAAAAAUGAAAAUAAGUUUCCCAUACACGUUUGGUUACUAAGAAAAAUACUGAGAGAAUAUAAGAAGUUAAUGACGGCUAGUAGCAGUUAUUAAAACUUCUGUUAGUAACUAAAUAUUUUCCUUCAAAAUCCUGCAAAAUUUGCAAGACAGGAAAGUGCAGGAAAAUGCAAGAAAAUUUUUCAACGUUCCUGCCAACCAAACAUGCAUGAAGAAAAAAAUAACUAACUUUCCUUCACUUUUCCACACUUUUCCCUGCAAAUAAACACUAUGUAAAGGGACUUCGUUAUUAAUUUAUCCUUUAGUUAUUUCUCUCUAAAAUACUAGUGAUUAUCCAUGUCAUUUCCGAGUAACAACCAAACAGGUUCUUUUUUUUUUUUUUGUCGUAACGAUAGGAUUCCUAUAACCUAACCUAGCCUAAUCUAAGGGGAAGGGGGAGAGGACUCGAUGUGAAUAGAAAUUUCAUCGAAAAUGGUCAACGAAAACCAUCACAUAUUGUGACAAUUUUGGUUCACGUAUUGUGAAGACAAUUUUGGUUCAUGUAUUGUGACAACCAAACAGGUUCAUGAAAGAGUGAAAUUGUGUUUCACAUGUAUCCAGUUGGCUUCAGAGCUUAUACUGCAUCGUAUCUGUAUACUACUAACCAUAGUCAUGAUAUCAAAGGAAAAACCUACUGCAUUUAUAUAUGCGAGCGGCCAAAUAUGUUCUGUCCAUUUUGUUUCUCUCAAAAAUGAUAAAUCUAGUCUUUGGAAUAAAAAAUUAGAGCAUGAAAAUGCAUGAACAAGGAACUCCAAGGCCAUUGAAUCCAGGAUCACUCUAAAGUACCAUGCACUUUAGAAUUUUUAGUUUUGUCUCUUCAAUUAAAUUUGAUCGAAGGUAAGGUAUAUGUCUCUUCGUCAAAGAGAAAAUGAGUAGUUGAAGAAGACAUGUUAAUUAAUGCUCUAUUCUUUGUGACUGCUGACAAGAAAUUAAAAGGAAGGUAUCCCAUUCACUUCGGUGCCGACUACCUACUUGUUUUCAAUAGUCAAACAUGCUUCUAACUUGUGCCCAAUUAUUGUUUUUUUCUUGUUUCUGUUUAUGAUGUGUUCUUGGACACUGAAAAGUAGAUGACAACAACUUAUUUAGAGUAAAUGGCAAAAAGAGCCACUACAUUAUUUGGAAUUCUUUGUUUUGAUCACUAGACAUUUUAUCUUGCCAAAAUGGUCAUUUAAUUAAUAAAAUAAGGUAUAUUUUGUCACUCAACUAAUAAAAAAAAAUUACAUUUUCAAUCACUCAACUAAUGAGACUAGAUAUAUACACUUUUUGAUCGCAAAAUGCAUGUAGUAUUAAUUAGUUGAAGGGCCACUUUGGAUAAAUAAAAAGUUUAAUGAACAAAAUAGGGAAUUUUAAAUAGUAUAAUGAUAAUUUGUGAUAUUUGCUUAAUUAUCUUUUGUCACUAGUGCAUUCUUGAUACGCGUUUCGCAGUAAACAAUGAUCCCAAGUUUUGUGUAUCAUUACUGCUUAAAAGUUGUGAAUAAAAUCCUUGGCACAACACAUUGGUUUGAGGAAAUAGAUUAUCAAUAAAACCAUGGUGGAAUCCUCAUCUUUAAUAGGAGAGGUGGAUGGAAUCAUCGCUUAUCAAACAUUAACAAGUGGACGGAUAGAUAGAUUGAAUGGUUCGGAGUAAUUUGAGUUAAAGAUUUUAAGUUCGAAAUCUUCUACUUAUACUAAAAAAAUUUAACAAAAUAAUCCCAAUUAAGGCGAAAUAAAACACAAUGACCCCAUGUGGUGACAUUUGAUUGCGGAAGAAUUUCUUUUAAAAGCUAAUUUGUUGUUCUGAUAAUGGGCUAAUUCGACUUUGACUAGAAUUCUAGUGCCAUCAUUUGUCAUGCAUACAUAACCAGUCUACCACUCCGUACUCUCCAGUUUCCUCGUGAUAGGUCAUGGUCGUUUACCAGGCUGAAAAAGGAAGGCCCCAGUCCAAAGAAGCCAAUUUAACCUCAUGUCAAUUAAGCUUUGGUCGUUCUACCCAGAUGAAGUGCAUAAAAGAUUAAAGAAUGAGUUCAGAAAUUUUUACCUUCUAAGUUUUAACCAGACAAAUCAGUAGAACAAAGCCAAGGCUUCCUUUCCUUAAAAGAUUAACGUACAAUAUGUAGCAGGCAACGUCCUAUAUUUCAGCUUGACACCAUUAUUGGGAUUGGGAUAUGUUUCUAACUUUAGGUUCUCUUUUAUCUCAGAGCGGUCUAUGGCAGUAAAAUAAGUAAAACCGCUGGGAUUGAUCCAAUGGUCAGAAAAAGAGCUCUUAGAACUGUCUCUGCUGCUAGAUUUAGAGUUCGAAUUUUGAGUGUAAUAAUUGAGGGUAGGAAGAGAAUGAGGAUGGGUGGGAGGUAAAAAAAAAAAAAGAAAGUAAAAUAAGUGAAAGACUAAAGCUAGACAAGCAAACCAAAGUAGCUAGCGCAGUUUGGUAACUUGUAGUUAACAACUCCUAAUAGAUACUCCAAAAUUUAUUCAUUGAGGCACAACUUUUUCAACCCUAAAAUAACGUUGAUGUUGCAAAAAUUACUAUGAGUAAUACAUGAGCAAGCAAGCCUCAAAAAUGUGCUGUAUUUGUUGAUAUAUCUUUGGUAGUCAGCUUAGUCAUCAUUUUUUUUUGUUCGAUUAAAGUUUGUGUACUGUCACUUUCUGUUACCACCAUGGGCUAGAUUAGAGUAUAUCAACGAAGCAAUAGUUCGAUUAUAUAUUAUUCACCAACACAGUUUUCAUAUCGAUAGUAAAAUUCAAAAACACAAUUUUUUAUUAAAAAGUAGUCAGCACUUAUCAAUUGAUCUAACUUAUCUUGACAAUCAACUUAGUCAUUGAUACAAUAAUUUGGUCCUCGAGACUACAGUCGCGUUGGCUAUGAGAUUCCAGUUGUCAAGCCAAGGAAAUCUUGUGCGUGCGAGUAAAAUUCAAUUUUAAAGAUCAAACACAAGUAUCAAUGUAUCAACUUAGUCAUCGAUAUACAAUGAUGCUUGUCUUAGGUCUUUAUCGUUGAAUUUUCCCUCCAUGCAACACAUUUCGAUGCCGUGGACAACCGGAAUCUCAUAGCCUUUGCAAGACUCCUUUUUGUUUGAAUACUAACCAUUGCCAGCCAUAUUAUCAGCUUUUAGAGAUUUUCCAACGUCUUUCCACCUUGAAAAAUUGUUCAAUUAGAAUUUGAUUUGUACCUAGAAGUAUUAAUAUUAGGACUUGAUCGAGCAUAAGUUGCCCCCACCAGUUGUAUGUAUCUCAUUAGUCAUAAUAUGUGGCUGAGCCUUCUGGUCCAAAUUUAACCUGUAAAGGCAAUUUGACAGCUUACCCGUUGCGUUUAGUAAUAGAGCGUACGUAAGGACAAAUAAGAGAGGGCUGGGGGAAAUAAAAAAAUAAAUAGAGUACGUACGGCCACGUUAGGUUACUGCAAGUCUUGGAAAUUGGAAUAGAUACAUCCCCAGUCAUUCAGCUCUUCUAGCCUACCAAUCCAAACAAACAAGAAGAAACUUGCAUUGCAUUGAUUGAUUGAUUGAUUGAUGUAUCCUUCGACAUGGGUAUGGAAGGAGAACAAGAGAUUCAGUAAGGAGCCUAGUGGUUAAUCCAGGCUUUCUUUGAAUUGUUAAUUGUUAAUCCAUGGAAGAAACAUACUAUUGGGGUCGUCUAGCUUGGGGUGUGGGUGCGUGGAUUAGUGAAGCCACCUUGUAGCAGCAGCCUAUGGAGGCUUGGCCCUUGUCGGGGUUUCAAUCCCACAUCGGUCUUGGGGGAGAAGGGUUUGGGUAGAUAAGUCUCCUUGGAGCCUUCAAAAGUUGCCGGCUUUUGAAGGUAACCCGGGACUUUAGAUUUAUUUGCCGAAUUCUUACUUUCGUAAGAAAAUGCAUGGAAUUGAGGUCUCCUCUCCAGACAUACUUGAUUAAUUUUGUACCUUAAGUCAGAUGUGUUUAAAAGGAAUUAUUCAGAUUUGUAUUUGUGGAAGUAAUUAGUCAAUAACUACUUCAGAGUUUUUGGUCAAUUUUUGGGAGCAUUUCAUGAUUUUCUAGGUCUUAUAUCCACAAACAUCCUUCACUCUAUCAUAAGAAGAAGAUGCUAAUUGCUAAUUUUGGCAUAUAUAUAUAUAGGUGAAUUUUGUUUAACAAUCUUGUAGUGUAUAUGCAUGCACAAUAGAUCUACGGAGCUUUCUUACCAUAUUAACCACCAUUCUAUCCUCAAACAGCAACAACAAGAGUCAUAUGUACCAGGACGAAUGUGUCACAAAACCAUUGAAACUUCCAUAUUCAAAAGGUGCAGGUACGAUACCACAUUAAUGCACUGUGAUUCAUGAACCUGUUUUAGAUGUUUAUGAAACAUGAAAAUAAUAGUUUUUUGACUGCCGUUGCCACGAAAUCCACAUGAUCUUCUACCCUAGGCUCUUUCAUUCUCAAUUCUUCAACUAACAAUGAUUGUAGUUUCAAACUAGCAAAGCGUAGGCGUGAAUGCAUUGAGUUGACAGAUAGCUGGAAUUUCCAUCCUGCAACAUAUUAGAAGGAUGUCAUUUUGAGAUCAUGAACAUAUCUUCUGAAAAUAGUGAAAACCAUAAAUGAGGGGACUCUGCGCCCAAAGAGUAAAUCUUAUAUAUACAUUAUCACGAUUGGAUGCAUGACAUAUGUAUAAAAUUUGGAUUUCAAAUUCAAAUUCGAAUUAUGUGUCAUACAUCCAAUGAUGAAAGUGUAUACACUGUCAGUAUAGAAUAUUAAUUAAUGCUUAAAACAAUGGUUGAAAGUCAAAAUUUUUGUCAUCCAGUGACAAAUGUUUUUGUGAGAAAUUGGUCUCGAAAUUCAGCAACAGUUUUUCUUUUGUUCCAUCCAAUUUAUUGCUUUUAUCUGAUUGCAUCAUUAGCAUUUAAUCAGAAAAAGCUUUUCUUACCAAGAUGAAAAAGAAAAAGAAUUAAUAUCGUCUCUUGCUUACCAAAGUUUUUUUUUAAAAAAAAAGAGAGCAGUGUUCACUUGUCAAUCUUUCCUGCCAAGUAUGAUAUCUCUGACUAUGUUAAUCUAAAUGCUUGUAAAAAGCAAUGUGGGCGCAGAAGUUUCCGACCAUGUAUGAAAAUUUCGAUUAAUCUCUAUGUUAAACGAAAAAAAUGAGGAAACAGGAGACGUAUGAAAUGCGAUGUGUGAAGAAUUAUUCUUCUUUUUCUCAUGUCCUAAUUCUAUGUAAAAUUGAUACAAAAGCAUCUCUAAUAUAAGGGGCAGCAUUUAAACAUUAAGCAUUUUAUAUCGAUAAGAUCAAUUUUGCUUCUAUUCCAUCUGAAUACUUUUUCUUUUUCCCUUGAACCGUGGGGAUGGUAUCAAAGCCAAUGACCGUCGAAUGAUGUAAAUAAGGUGGUCCAGACUUCUGUACUUUUCUCUUCUAAGUUUCAUCCCAACUGUACAGGAGUAGCUCAUUGAAAAGAUUUAAAAAAAAAAAACCAUAGUUCAGCGGAUAAAAAUUACUCUAAGGAUAACAGGUUGACCUUCCCUAGGGAUUCAUAUCGACCGGAAAGUUUGGCACCUCAAUAUCAGGACUUCGCCACCUAAGGCUAUAGUACGUUAUAAAAGUUGGACUGUUCGCCCAUUAAACCAAUAUGUGAGCUGAGUUUAGAACGUCAUGAAAUAAUUUAGUACGUUAUAAGAGUUUGGCACUCAGUAUCAGGACUUCGCCACCUAAGGCUACAGUACGUUAUAAGAGUUGGACUGUUCGCCCAUUAAACCAAUAUGUGAGCUGAGCUUAGAACGUUAUGAAACAAUUCAGUCAAUAAUCGGCGUGAGCGUUAGAGCAUUGAAAAGACAUUUCCCUAAUACAAGAGCGAUUUCCAUUUACUAUCAAAAAAUAGAACAGGAACACAAUAUCCAUUGGACUUGCAUUCCUUUCUCUAAUCAUGAAGCUUUCCUUGAUAAUUAAUGCAGUCAAAGGUUUCAAAAUAACGCAUGCACAAUACUUGUAAGAAAAUAAAUAUUUCCUUAAAGAUGAUAUCGUGAAAGAAAUGCACAUACAUACACAUAUACAUGUAUCAUCAGAGAACAGAUACACGUGUAUGUAUAUAUAUACACGUAUAUGAAAAUUAAAAAUGUGCAAACAACAAAAUAAGAAUCGUUGUCGAAGAAAUCAUGCAAUUUUCGUGUGAACAAUCACGGCCCCUGUUCCCCGCCUUUUGACACGGGGCUAUAGUCCGUAGUGCAUGUUUUUUGGCUCCAGGUGCUUCUUGGCAUAGGCAAUUAGGCAUGAUUGCUUGCCCAAUUCACUACUGUAACAGAUAGGAGACAGGCAAGUGAUCAGAGUUAUUUAUAAUUUUCUUUGUUUUCAAUUUACAGUGAUUUUUCCUCUCUGUCAAGUAAUCUCUGCUUCAAAAUUUGCAUUUUGUUUCUUCUGUACGCAUAUAUGAAAUUGACAUCUAGGGUACUGAUUCAAAACAAACAGUAUACUGAACUUUUAUGAUAUAUUAUUGUAAUUUGUAACUGCAUAGAUGACAAAAAAUGCUUCAUCAAUCAUGACAAUUGACAAACGAAGCUCCAGGUUCUUAUAGAGAUUUCUACGUUUUUCUUCAAAUAGUGAAGCUACUAUAGCAAAGCAGAAGCGGGUGGGGACUAUUUCUUCGAGUUUUCAAAUCCACCCUUUCGUGGCAUGUGCAACAUUUUACACCUCGAAAUGACUAAAGUGAAUUUGACAGAUGGUUGACUUACGACCCGUUUGAAGUUACGGUGCUUUAAUUUCAAAAAAAAAAAGGGAGCAUUUUUAAGUAUCAAAAGCACGUUUUAAAUGUUUGGUAACUAAUUUUUUUUUGUAAUUGAAGGAGUCUAACUUUUGAUAAUUUAAAAGUAUUUGUAUCAGAAGUGUUUCUUUAUAAGUUACCAUAACCUUAGAUGUAGCCUAUGCCGGGACAACUCCAAGCAUACCCUUAUCAUGUUUCUUCUUUUCUUUCAUGUUAGGUUGAAACCUUGGAAUAUAGGAGGACUGAUAAUUUCAUUAAUUGACAGCCAGAAGAAGGACAUUUUGGAUAGUGACACUAUUUUCGGGUUGAACACUUUUUCUAGGGCUUUUUCAUAUUUCCUGACAAAUUCUUUUAAUAUUGCAAGAUAUAUAUAUAUAAAAACUAAAUACAAAACUUGUGGUUCAAAAGUGUAAUUCUCUAUUUAGGUCCACAGCCGACCCUGUAAGAAAGAAAAGAGUAGGCUUCUUAUUAUUUAAAUGGCCUCUUUUUAACCUGCUUCAGAAAACAAAAGACACUUGCAAGUUUUCGAAAAAAAUAUUAAAAAGAAAGUACAUUAAAUAAAGUACUGCAGUGAAAAUGGAUACAGGCAGUGAAAGUUGUCGGUGAUGGAUGGCAGGCGAUAUAAGGGAUAAGGAAGGUGAUUUUCUAGAAAAUAGAGAACUACAGUAAGUUAUAAAAAAGUUUCGAAGUAAAUAUCCAAAAAAAAUACACCAUCUAAAUGAAUGUAAAAUGUCUUGAAGAUGUAAUCCAAGGGCAAAUCUAAUAAGAUAAAACCAACAACAGCUCAAUCCUUCCAAAUAAUCAGUAUAUUUGUUCUGUUCAGUGCAUUGAGUCAAAUUUUUUCUAAAUCGUAACAGUUACUCUAUAGCAUGUACAUGGGUUCAUUUGUCUCAAUUCUGCAGAUAAUAGUAGCUAGCAUAUUGAAAAAUACAUGCCUGUCUGGUUAAAGUUUGUUUUAGGUGUUACGAAACGAAAACAUGCUUGCUACUUCCCCAUCACUCUCUGGUACGUAAAGAAAUGCUUCCACCACGUCUAUAGCAUCUGAUCAGUGGGAGGGCUAAUCUAUUCUUUUCUAUCUUCAGCCACCAAAACAAUAUCAUAUUUCUUUGGCUCAGCAUUUUUCUACGUUCUAAAGAUAAGAGCAUUUCCAACAGCUCUGGCAAGUUAAAACAUUCGGGUAAAAUUCCAAAAAAAAGUAUGGCUUUUGGGCCAGAGUUUCAUAAGAAACUUUUGUUAAUUGCAAGUACCACUCUCAGAAAUAGGCCCCUUCUAGCCAAGUGUUUUUCAAGCCUUCACACAAUCAACCAAUUUGUAGCCCCGAAUUGCACAUUAUUUCAUCAAAAGACAUCAUCACCUAUUGUGACAAAAUAACAAUAAGCCCUCAAAAAAUCAACCAAUCAUUGAUUUUGGAACAGAAAUGUGGUCAAAAUCGGAUUCAAUUGUCAACUGCCCCUAUCGGAAAUAGGAUUGAUUGCCGAUUCCAACGGAACUGGAGUUACGUCUCGUUUCCACAAAUAAUUCAUCUUGUUGAAAUUUGUAUUUUUUUUUGGCUGCAACCAUUGUUGAUUUCAUUGAGGGUAUGUUUGUAUCUUCAUUGUAAAAGGUGUCUCUAUAGCACGUGACAAGGUUGCUGUUGCUUUUGGGGUUGCUUAGUUGAUUAAAUUACAACGGAAAAAUUACGAAGACUUUACAAGCAAAAAUUGAUUUAAUUGAAGAAUGAAAGAAAUAAACCAGGACCAUUAGGUCUUUUGAGGGUGUAUUCCACAAUUAACCCAAAAAACUGUGAACAGCUUAAACAAAGCUACAUGAAAUAUCACUUUUUACCAUGUACUCAUUUUUUGCCGAUGUUAAUCUCAACCACAGACCAAAAAGAAAAAAAAAAGAAAAGAAUUUGUGGGACCUAGUUCCAUGACCACAGAAGUGUUUAACUAAGAGUGCAUUUAAUAAAACUGAAAUUUGAAAACUAAAAUUUGAAGUCUGAAUCCGUUUGAGUUACUGAGUUGUUAAAUACUAAAUUUGAUAGAAUUGAAUGUAUGUCACAUUAGUAAUAAGUGAAUAGUUUAUCACUUAUCUUUUGAAACAAUUUUUGCCUAUGAAAGUCAUUACUACUUAAUUAAUUUAAAUGUUCAAUAUUUAGUUAUCAAACAUGGUUAAACAUAUUAAAAUUUAAACCCAUUAAGUUUAAGUACCGAAUUGGGUUAUCAAACAAGACUUAAGAAUGCCUGUUUGUAUUGCUAUUCUCAAGAGAAAAAUAUACUAUAACGAUUUGAUAUUUAUGAAGUAAAAAUGUGUUUGAAAAAUAUGUUCAUGAAAAACAUAAAAAUUUUUUGGAUAAAUUUUACUUUCCAAACAAGGAUGGGAUUGGUUACAAAAGGAACAGUGUAAAAAUUGAGAAAAUACUACUAGCUACUAACCAAUUGUUAUUCAUUAAUUUUAACCAAAAAAAAAAAAAGAGAUAGUAAACUACAACUAGGGAUGGCAACGGGGCUGGGUCGGGGCGGAGGAACGCCCCUGCCCCCACCCCGCCCCGCUUCCACCCGCAGGCUGUGUUUUCAAACUCGGAUCGGACCGGCGGUCCAACCGGUUGAACCGGGAACCGGUCAAGUGUCCGGUCCGAGUUGGUCAUCAGAACCGGGAGAUUUAAAACCCGGUCAACUCCGGUCAAAAACCUGGUUUGACCGGUACAGAACCGGAAAAACCGGUCCAACAGGAGCUUUUGUAAAAAAAGUUCAAACUUUUUUAAUAUUAUGUUUUGACCCCCUAAAUUGUAAAAACUUAUUAAUAUACCUCAAAUAUUUCAUACUUUAUAAAUAUUGUCCUAAAAUUUGAUGUUAUUUUUCAAUUAAAUCCAUAAUUUUAAUUCUAAACUUGUUAAUGUUUAUUAAAUAAUAUAAAUUGUUACUUGAUUGUUCUAAUUUCUUUGUAUUUUCUUGUUAAAUAUAUUUGAAACAUCAAAUAUAUAUAAAUAUACCUUUAUUAAUAUCAAUAUGUUAUUGGAUAUUUUAUAUACAAUAAUUUAAUUUUUAAAUAAUUUUUAUUUAUGACGUCAUCCGGUUCGACCCCUAUCGACCCCCGGUCGAACCCAUUGACCCCUGACCCCUGACCUCGACCGAGUCGAUAUCCGGUCCGGUUCUAAAAACAUAGCCCGCAGGACUAAUAAAAAUUUGUCAUCUAAUUUUAUUAUAGUCAAAUUUUAGCAAAUAAUCAAAUAUUAAAAUAUCAACAUAUCACCAAGUUAUUAUCCAUUAUAAUUUCACAAUUGAAACCCAUAAAAGUAAUCAAACAAAAGUUAUUUGAAUACAAUCCAACACGAUGAAACAAAUAUAACUAAAGUAGUCAAUUUUUACUUUUGACACAAAUACAAUUACUAAGUCAUUACUGUAUUUUUUUGAGAAAAAAGUGUUAUUGUGUUAAGUGUAAUUAGAAAUUUAUUAUAAAUGUAUUAGUAAAUUUAGUAUAACUAAUUAAUAAUUUCUAUUAGUGGACAUGUAUAAUUAUUAGUAUAAUUGAUAAUAUCAAUUAUAUUACAUAUACUAAUGUCCAUUAUAUAAUACAUAUAACUAAUAAUAUCAUUAUUAUAAGUUUGUAACUAAUUAAAUUAAAUAUUAUAUAUAUAAUUGUAUACAUACAUAUUUAUUUUUUUUUAACGGGUGGCGGGGCGGAAGAUGGGGCGAGGGUAUGCUCCCCCGCCCCGUCUCUAAACAGGGGGAAAAAAAUUCUCUCGUACCCUGCCUCACCACCAGUGGCGGAUUUACACUGGGGGCACAGGCCCCCACUACCCCCUUAAAUUUCUAUAAUACCUAUAAAAAUUUGAUAUAAUUUCAAGUAUGCUCUCUGGAGUUUUGUGUAUCUAUUGGUUAUAUGCUUUUAAAGUUGUCUUUGAUUUUACCUAUUGUUACAACUACCAUAGAAAGGAUUUUUUCAAUUAUGAUAGAAUGGAAAACACUUGAAUGAAUAAUUGUAUAAUUAUUUAUAUUGAGAAAAAUAUACUUCAUGAAGUUCAAAAUGAAAAGGUUGUAAACUGUUAUCAAAAUAUGAAAGCUCGUCAUGAGCAAUUGUAAAUGGUGUAAUUUGCUUUUUGAAAUAAAAUUAUUAUUACAUUAAUAAUUUUGAGUCUGUCUUUUUAUGUCUUUCAUGAAAUAUAUGCUUCAUUUGUAUUUGUUGGUGAAUAUUUUUCCCUUAAAAAACUAGAAAAAUAGUAAAUAAAAAAUUUUAGAAUUACUUCUGUCCCCACUGAAAAUUUUUUCUGGCUCCGCCACUGCUCACCACUCACCCUAAACCCCGCUCUGUUAACUCCGGUGAGGCGGUCGCUCGUCCCAAUUUCCAUCCCUAACUACAGUCAUUUGUAGAUUAUUAAAGCUGUGGAAGACUGACUGAAUGUCCCUUUAUGUAACUAAAAUCUUGUAUUAUCAAGUUCAUAUAUGUAUAACAAGAAUACCGUUUGAGAAAAAAAAAAAAAAAAAGACUGCCCCACUGUCUAUUUAAAUUCCAAAAUAACCCCUUUGGUUGAUUAUUAAAGCAGCCGCAUGUCAAUUCUGUCUUUUUCCUGGCGGCAGAGGGCCUAUGUUGAAAUCCCUGAUGCUGCUCAAUUAUUACUGUGACUGUUCUUUCAAAUUAAUUCAUCUGAAUCAUGCGCAGUAUAUGUAGUAUCUGAUUCACUGAUACUAACACAGGGUCAUUGAAUAAAAAUUAAAAUAAAAUGACCACUGAUAAAAGUUACUGACAAAUUUGUUGUAAAUUGUGAUCUUUUUACUCUUCUCUUGGCCAUAGGAUUCAUAAAUAAUUAAGCUAGUACCCAUGGCACGGAGUUGUCUGGAGAUACAAGCUCAGAUCUUUGAUAGCCCCCACCUUCGCCAUGCCUUGAACUGUUCAUGCACAGUGGUGCGACCAUGAAUGGGCUUUGAGUAAAGCAAUUCUGAUACGGAUGAAUUCGGGGGUCUGAGACAGGUAUAGUUGAGAUUUUGGUACGAUUUUGCAACUUUGGAUAUUUUACAUGAUUUAGUAUAAAUUAACUUUGUUUUGUUAUAUGAGUGAAUUUUGUUCAUGCAUACGAGUACAAUUGUAGAUACAAUUGUAUCUACAAUAGCACACUGUGAAAGAAAUAUAACAACCGCACUAAUUGUACCAAAAACCAACCGCAUGCGACUCAAUCCAUCGCAGAAGACGGAGUGGUAAAGGGGAUAACCAGCCACUCCCUGCUCAAUUUUUUUAAAAAUUUUAAUUUUUAUCCUAUGUAAUUUUAGUACUAGCUGUAGUAGAUGGAAUCUCGUGAAAAUAAAGACUAAAGGUUGUGCAACUUCGAAAAGUCAGUUGAAUAUGGUACAGCACUAAGUCAUGUAUGUGUUAGGUUAACUUAAUUUGUUACUGAGACAAAAAUCUUGCACACUUUUGCAUAUGCAUAAUGACUCGCCAAAUUUUCACAGACCAUAAUUAAUUACUCAACAGCCAUGCACUUGAGAACCUUAGUGACAACGAAAUCUAUUACAGCCUUCUGUAUAUCAUGCCACCACCCGAGAGAGAGAGAGAGAGAGGAUAAGACCAGUCAAAUGUAGUAGAAGUGUGAAUGCAUGAAAUGAGUAGGAUGAGCUAGAAUGGUUUUUCAGCUAAGUUCUUGCCUUGCUCUCUCUCUCUUCGAGUUUAUAUAUACCUGACCUGACCUUUGAGAUUUGUCUCAGAGCCACAACUUUUCCUUGACUGCAGCAACAUCAGUCUUCUCUUCAACUAGGAGUAUCAUUCACCAACACCAUCUCUUCUCCAUCCGUCUCUUCCAUCACUUUCUCUUGAAGCCAUUCAUUCAUUUCCAACUCCAAAGGCAUCAAUGGCAACUUUUUCCUACCAACACCAACAACAACCUUUACAUCUUGAAUCAUCAUCAGGACUGUUUUUGCAAAGCAGCUCCCAAAUGAGGAUGUCUGCAGGCCUUCUUGAGGAGCCAAACAUGACAAGAAUGACCACCACCACUACUUCUUUCCCUCAAUUCUACAGGCCUGAUCAUUUUCUGCAUCAGGAAAUCCCUUCCAAAUCCUAUGUUAAUGAAAGUACUUGUUCCAUCUUUGACCAGAGCUGCACAAAAGUUACUCAUUUUAGCAAUAAUGGGCCGUCCUUAACAAACAAAACUUCCACCGAUUCUUCAUCAGUAACUGAUAAACUUGAAAGUGGGGAGCAAGUUACUCAGAAGGUACAUGCUGCAGCCAUGGACAAGAAGAGGAAAACAAAGAAGGGGCCUCUUCCUGUAAAUUCUGCUCAAUCAAAAGUACUUAAUCCAUUUUUUUUUUCAAUUUUUCAUCAUGGAUUUUCUAUCAAAACUGUUUACUCAUAUACAUCUACGAGCCCUUUUUCCCUUUUAAUUUUAAGUUUCAAGACUAUAUGUCUUAUAUGUUCUUUAAUUAGGCUAUAGGAGAUCAAUUAGCUAAAGGGAAAAAGCAGAGGAAAUGUGGCAGAAUUAUGAAAGAGGUUGAAGACAAGAAGUCUAAUGAGGAUAAAAAAGUUCCAGAGAAAGCUGCUGAAGAAGCUCCCCCCACAGGCUACAUUCACGUAAGAGCAAGGAGGGGCCAAGCCACGGACAGCCACAGCCUAGCUGAAAGGGUACAAUUCCAUUAAAUAAUCAUCGCUAGUUAUUGUUCUUGAAAAUAAAAACCCUUAAAUGCUUACUUUUCUCUGACAUAAACAAUUAAGGCAAUAACUAUAUUGUCUAGCACACAAACCAUGAUUAAAAUUUUGUCACAUGUACCACUCAAAACCAAAAUUACUGCAGUUGGGAUCCCAAUAGUGCCUAAGUUCAUGUAUCAGCUAAAUUUUUUCUGGAAUUGAUAUCAGGUGAGGAGAGAGAAAAUCAGUGAAAGGAUGAAAAUAUUGCAAGCACUUGUUCCAGGUUGUGACAAGGUGAAGUUUUUUCAUCAGCAUCUUGUCUUUAUUUUGUUUGUCUCGCUAAAGUUUUUUUUUUCUGACAAUUUGAAGUGAAUUCGACUGAUAAACAGGUAACCGGAAAGGCCCUCAUGUUGGAUGAAAUAAUCAAUUACGUCCAAUCCCUACAAAAUCAAGUUGAGGUAAAACUUUUGAUAGACUUGUUAUUUGGUAAAGUUUUUGAAGCUUGCUGUUAUAUAAUCCAUGCAAAAUAUUUCAAAUUCUUGCAGUUUCUAUCCAUGAAGCUUGCUUCUCUAAAUCCGAUGUUUUAUGAUUUUGGCAUGGACUUGGAUCCAUAUAUUGCAAGACCAGAACCGGUACAUGUUGCACAAUGUUCUAACACAAUUGUGUACCAAGUUGUUAUAUUUCAGAGAAUGUUUCACCAUUGUCGUCCAUACUUAUCCUGAUGAAUUAUGUCUUUUUUUUCUUUCUUUCUUUAAUGAUGAGAUCUUCAGACGCUGAGUAACAUGGCAUCACCGGUUCAAAAUAUGCAACAAUGUGAUCCAAUGCAGGCACCAAUCAUUUCUGCCACAAACAAUAGCUUGAGAACUGAUACUGCCAAUGACUAUCCUCAGUUGGAUUCUUCAGCUUCAGCAUUAUUAAUUCAACAAAGCCACCACAUCCCUCAAAUUCUCUCUCAGGUGCUUUUAACUUUUCAUGGCCACCAAUAGUAGAAUGAAAAGCAUAUACUAAUUGAUAAAAUUAAAGAAACAUUAAAGUAAAAGAAUAUUUUCUUUCUUCCAUGGAGAAAUAAAUGCUCAGGUCGGUAUCUUUGUGGCUUAGACAAAAAUAUCACUUUCAGGAAAAUGGACAGCUCUUGUGGGAUGUGGAUGACCGAAGACAGAAACUUAUUAAUCAGACGGGGUUCAACAACAACUUGUGUUCGUUUCAUUAAUUAUAAGACCAAAGGGCAAGAGUUGCCCUACACAUAUCUGGUAAGCCUUCAAUUGCUGUCUCAAAUAAUACGAGCAAAUGCUAAUAAAAAUUAGUGACAACUGCGAAUGAGCUAAGAGACAUAUGUACAUAGAGUCAUUAUCAGAAAUGCUUCCUUUCAUGCCCCUUAAUUUGAAUUUUUUAAUACUUUUUCCUGGCUUUCACACCAUUUGAGAUUUGAGAAAUCUCAGUUGGUUAUUUGGGCCGUAUGCCAUUUUUGUUUAGCAUAAAGCAAACUAAUUAGAACGGACGACGUGCAUGCAUAGGGCUUAAUCACUUGGGAAUUAAUUACUCAGGUAGAUUUAAACUAUUAAACCUACAUGCCUUAAUUGCUCUUACCUUUCCAGAUGGUAUAAAUAAUAAUGCAAAUGUUACAAUUAUAUAAAAUACCCAAUCUGCAAGAUCAAGUCCCGAACUGAAUUAGUUCACUUAUGUUGACGAAAUAUUUGUUGAACACCUGAGUUUCUCUGUAGUCCACAAUUGUUUAGAGAUAAUGCGACAAGGCACACAGAGUCUCAUAUGGUCCUACGUACUACCUCCAUGUCUCAUUCAAUGGAAGAAAUUUUACUUGCACGAAUUAUCCAAAAAAAAAAAAAGGAAAAGAAGAACAAAUAGAUACAAGUAUUAGCUAUAUAACCCUAAAAAAACAGAGAAUUGUUGCAGGUUUUGUAUGUUUUCUUCUUUUGGUAAUUUUGCUCCUGGUUUUUUGAUGAAUGACCACAGGUUUGUCAAGAUUUGUGAAGGGCAAAAAGGUAGUGCCAGACAAAUGUUACUGUAGUUUCUUAUUCGUUAGUAUCAAUUCUAAUGGAGAAGGGUUUCAGCUUGCAUAUUACUUUGAUCACCUCAAAGCUCGGAUUCUGAAUUCAUUGGAGGAAUGGGGUCUUCUAUCUCUCUGAUCACAUGAAUAAAAAGAAAAGCAAAGUAAAAGGGCAUGAAGAGGAUAGAAAUCAAUGGACACACAAGGACAAACACAACCGACCAAACAAGACUAGAUCUUUUUCAGAUCCUUUGUUCCUGUCUAAUUUGACUCCCAACUGUCAGAAGCACAAAUUCCUAGCUAGAGACUUGGCUUUACAUAUGUACUUAAUAUGAGGUAAAUCCAAGAAAAUAUAAUGUAAACAGUUGUAAAAGAAUCUGUUAAGGUAUCAUAAUAUUGAGUUGCAUGUAACUUACUGGUAGUAGUCUAGUAGUCCUGCGUUUCUUCUUCUUAGUAUUGUCACUGUAAUUCUGUUAUAGAAGAUAGUUUUUACCGUUGUAGUUUUCUUGUCCCUUUGUUACAUUGAAUUGCACUGCGAGUCUGCUACUAUUACUGUUUCAUUUUUUGGUACUGACGUGACAAGACUCAUCCCAUAUCAUAUGGCUUCGUACGAAGGAAUCAAUUCAACUGUGUGACUGCGUGUUGAUAAAUGAAUCAUAGUAACGGACCUAACGGUUAUUGACAGGUCCAUGAAUUAUUUCUUUCACCACUGAAAAGACAGUAACCAUGGGAAGCAUGAAAACAGGUAAACAACCAAUUGAUUCUUAAUCUUAAAACGACUGAUAAUCUAUAGAGAUUUACCCUGGAAACGAAUGCAAGAACCCAGAUUAAUGGACUUUAAAACCCCGUAUAGUAAUGGUUAGAAGAAGAAGAAGGAAAAAAAAAAGAGCAAGAAAGGAAAUUUAAUAUUGUAUGUGUAUUUUUCUGUUAUGGCAAACAAAUUUUUCUUGGUUCCACCAUCAUAUAAAUUAGUUAACCUGAUAAGUCAUUGUAAAAUUACUGAAUGAUGUAAAGAAGUUAAAACCCUAAAAAUGUAUCAUCCAACUCUCUAAUAAUCCAGAUCUUCAUGUAGUAGUAGUAGUAGUUUUUAUGUCUACUGAUUCUUCAUUUCUUUUCCAAGCUAAACUGAAUUAAGAUUAAUUUGGAGCAAAUUGAACUGAAGAAACUUUGAUGGCAUGGUGAAAAACAGCAUCUGGAGACGUACUGCUUGUCAAGACAGCAAGCGGCAAGAAUGGGGAAAUUGUACAUGGUGGACCUAAAAAAUCAUCAGGUAGAAUAAUUAAGUCUUUAUUUCCAUAUCAGACAAGGUAAACUGAACUGCAUUACUUCAUUGGCAUAACCAUCUGACUUUCAUGUUCAAUAGAUUGACAUGGUCAAGUGGAGUGGAGUCUCUUCGGACAUUCCAUGUGGUACCUGUGUUUCUCGUGUUAUUAAUAACUGGCUGGUUGGCACCGGUUGUGAGCAUUUUACUCUGAUUGAUCAGUUAUUUACAUUCUCUCUUGAAGAAUUACUAUCGUUUUCUUAACCAAAAAAAAAAAAAAAAAGUCAUGCAUUAUUAUAUUUGUCUCACUAGAAAUUUAUUGCAAUUAUGCCAAUCUUCUUUUUUUUUUUUGUUUUUUUGUAUAUAAUGAACAUAUCAUUCUAGUCAUAAAUAAUAUCAUCACAAUUCCUUUUGACAUAAAUGACUUGUAAAGUCUUUGGCACUAUCAUAACUACCUUUUUGAAGUUCUAGAUAUAGUAAGGCACCGUUUGGAAUGAGGGAAUGGAAGGGAAAGGAAAGGAGAAGAAUUGGAGGGAUUUGGUUUCUAUUAUUUGGAUUGAUAUUUGAGAAGGGAAAGAAAAGGAUAGGGAGGGCUAGUUAUUUUUAUUGAAUUAUGGUUUUCGUUCAAAAGUGGGGCAAAAAAAAGAGGAAAAUAAAACUAAAUUAAUUUAAAUAAUUUAAAUUUUUUUUAAAGAUAAAAUUUUUCAUAUCUUUUCCAGUAAAGUAACACUUGAUCUAUUCCUUUCCUUUCUUUUCUUCUUCAAUCCAAACAAAAAUUCAAUAUUUCUUUCCUUUCUUACAUAAUUCAAAUAAGAUGGAUGAAAGCCACUUUUCUCUACUCUUCUUUUCUUUAUUUUCUAUUGGUAUCCUUUCUUUUCCUUCAAUUCAAACGGUGCCUAACCACAUGCAAAUAAAACUGUAGAUCAUAAUAGUGUAGAAAUUAUUAUCAAAAGUGAAGUACUGUAAAUUUUAGAAACUUUACAUUUUUCCUACUAUAACAAAAUUUUUUUUUUCCGGUAACCCGAAUCAUGUUUCGACCUGAAUCCUUUGGAUCCGAACCGGCACACCAAACAGGAGGGCAACGCUGCAGCCCCACGCAACAUUUACCCAAGCGAGUCACAGGAUGCCUAGGGAACAAUUUCGAUCCUGAGACAUUUGUAUUCCAAAGAAUCACUGUUACCACUAGGGGAACUACUUUAACAAAUUUGCAAGAGAAGUCGGCAAUAAUUUUUACGUGGAUUUUUUUCUUUUAAUCCAAUCCAAGAAUGUUCUACUAAAGAGAGUCUCGUUAUCCAUGAGUCAUCAUAGUUACAAUAAUUAUUAUCAUCUAAGAGCUUUUAGCUACAUUUGACGUGUUGCUAGCUUCUCGGCCUUUGCUGCUCCUCCAGCUGCCGAGAUUUCCAUGACUAGGGUCCCAACUAUUUCUUCCUAGAGAUGAAAGAUAAGACAAGUCAAUGAACAAAUAUGCCCCCACCACCAAUAUAUUUCUGCAAAUUUUUAGUCACUUUAAUACGUUGCAAUUGUCUUAAAAGUGUAUGUCUUAUCAUAUAUUAUUUUGUUGUUCUUCUAUUUCUGAAAGAAAAAAAAUUAAAUUAAUUGUUAAAAAUAGCAUAGUACUGCCAACUGGAUUGUAAAUGUUGCCAUAAUCAUUAUUGCUUCCAGGCCAACAGCUUCUUGGGCUGUUGGUAACCCUACUUAAUUGUGACUGUUAUUUUUGAGUGGCUUUCUUGGACUGGAUUUUCCGUUGAUUAUACUCCCCCUCUCCCUAAAUUAGAUUAGAAUAGAUGAUACAACUAUUAUCGUUGCGAAAAAAAAAAAAUUGCUUCCAACAUAUGUGCAGUUCACCAACUUAUCAAUAUGUUCAUCAUUUGGUCCCAUUUCUUAGAUUAAGUCAGACUGCUGUCUGCUAUUGAUUGAACCAAAAACUUGCUUCUUUAAGCUUUCUGGCCAUUAUGAUCAUUGGCUCAGAUUGGAGUCUAAGAAUAAAUUUAUGAGGAAAUUAUAUUUCUAAUGUUCAUAUAAUAAUACAAGUGAAUUCCUGAUUUGGAUCGGUCGAACAUUAAAGCUUGGUUAAGUGCUUGAUCGAGGCAGUAAAUGGUUCUUAACAUUGAAAUUGGAAAAUAAUCGUUUAAAAACGUUUUCGAUUUUGAAAUCCAUGAUGACAAUUCUUAUGCAAAUGGAUUAAUUUCUCUUCUUUUAUACCCUUAUUCUUCUUUAACUAGCCACACCUUUUUCAUGUGAACAAGGUCUGCGCCACUAGGCCUGUCAACGGGUCGGGUCUAGACCCGGAUCCGGACCGGAUCCGUGAAAUUAUUGAGGGUAUGGGUAGGGAUUUAAUUCCGUUUCCUGGAUCCGGAUCCGGAUCCGUUUUGUCAAACAAAAAACGGGUCGGAUACGGAAUAUAGUAUUCCGACCCGUAUUAGACCCGGAUCCGGAUAUAAAUGAAUUAAUAAUUUAAAAAAUAUAUAUUUAUCAAUAUAAUUUGAUUAGGGUGAUGUAUUUUAAUAAAAUUAAUUUGAUUUCUUUUCUUAUUUGGUUUUUUCUUUGCAUUAGUUAGAAAUUAGUUUAUAAAUAUAUUUUUUUCUCAUUUUUAUUAGAAAUUAUAAAAUUUGGUAAAUUUGUUCGGGUAGACCCGGAUCCGGAUCCGGGACCCGCCGGAUCCGGAUCCGGAACAUAGAAUAAAAGACCCGUCGGGUAAACGGGUCGGGUCCGGAUCCGGGAUAGUAAUUCGGGUCCGGGUCCGGAAUAAUGAAUUCCGGCCCGGACCCGGCCCGUUGACAGCCCUAUGCGCCACGCAUCGUGGCCAUGUACUAGCUUAAGGAAAAAAAUGGAUGUUCCAACUUUUUCAAUUGUCUUUGUUGGAAAAUUUCCUUAAACAUGAAGAAAUUGGCAUCAAUAAUUGUGUGCUAAAAAAUAAAACGGCUAUGUGUUUGAUACGUUCAAUUCCACCACCUGAAGCCGUUAUAUCUUGCCAGAUUGGAUUUUCUUGCACGUCAACGACAAAAUUGUUUUGGUACAAAUUAUCUUUGACAAUAGAGUUGCAAUUUCGAGGUACGAGCUUUAUAUUUCAAAGAUAAGGAAAGUUGAUAGGCUGGAGGGAUUUGGUACUCAUGGUUCAUGCACUUCCAAUUUUGGCAAGUGACAUUUGUGCAAAUCAAAAUUGCGUCCACAGUGAAAGAUUCAUUGUUACAAGCCGAAAUUGUUCAAUAAAACAGGACAAAUUAAGCUAAGAUCCAAAGAGAAGGGAAGUUGAAAAGAGCAAUCACGCCAAAGUUGAAUAAGGGUAUCAGAAAGUCUAUUAAAGCAAAUCAUGAGCGUAAAAAUUAUUGGCGAACAGAUGAAUUAAAAAUCUAAUACCAGGACAUUAGUUACUAACAUGCACGGAAGGGAAUUGCAGUGAUUUAUCUAUUAGAAAAUAAUUGUGAAAUUUCUUGUAUUUUUUCAGAUCUGGUGUUAAUUUUUUCGGAUUUAUUGUAUAUGUUAAAUUGCAGAUAUGUAAUUUCUAAUGCAUGAUCUCUGUAAUUUCUAAUGCAUGCUUAACCUACCAUUAAAGCAGUAAUGUAAAUCAAAUCAUAGUGAACGAUUUCAAACAAUCUGUUAAUGAAAUUUGCUAUAUGUAUGGUAUCAUAAUCAUUAUUGUUCUCUCAUAUUUUUACACAUUUUCAUGAAUAUUUGAAUGUUCAUCUUCCCUAUUUCAAAAAUACUAAGUUGAGUAAGGACAACUGGCGACCAAGGACAAUUGUUAAAUAAACCCUUGUCUUUUGAAAUUGCCAAUCUGAAACAAAAACAAAGGAAGUAACAAAUCAGCAGCAUAGGAUAUUAAGUACUGUUCUUGUGUCUUCUGGAAAUGCAAUAAAAUGGAGAUUGACAUUUCUUUGUCAGAACUUAAAGCCUGACAAUUGAGAGUCUGCAGAAAAAUUUCCCAACCUUCUUCUAGUAUUUGCGAUUAGCUGCAAUGUGCAAAUCAAUGACCGAUCAUUUCCAUAUUAAGGCUCGACAACAUCCAGGAUAAGAAAGUACUGAACCAUAGAUGGAAUACACGUUGCGUUAUUAAAAUCACCAAUCCUGGCUUCUUUAAUAUUUUUUUCCUUCUCUUUUUCAUCUUCUUUGUACUUUCCACUCAAGAUGUCCCCUGAUCAGAAAAUGAAUGCUUUAGGCUUUAUAUUAUUCUUUCUUUUGACAGAUCAGCAUCCACAUAUCAUCUGACGUGGAAGCAAAGGAUGUUGCAAAGUGUCCUAUUAAUUUGGAUUGAUAUACACACAGAACCUAAUCAAUUAUCAACCCCAACCCUACUAUCUUGUGAACGUUACUUCAAUGUCCUUUGUUUUUCAUUCUGAUGAUAAAAUAUCUGUUAAUGCCAUUAAUCAUUGUAUAAUGUCUAUGUACUCGUCAUAUUUCGUGUCCACAUUUGUUCUAUUAAUUUUAAAUUCUUGAUUGAGCAUUGAUUUUCAUAAAAUAUGUAGCACCUCAUACAUCUUUUUUCCUACCUCUCCCCUCACUCUCCUAUUCCUUCCCUAUCUCCAACCUAUUAGUCUGGAUCGAACCCUGAUCUACCAUAGUUCAACUCCCUGAUCACUAGUCCUCACGACUAGGGGUGUUUCGCGGCUCGCGAGCGGCUCGAAUACGUGCUCGAGUCGAGCUCGAGCUAAUUAAGUCGAUCUCGAGCUCGAGCUCGAGCUAAAAAACAUUAGCCUCGUUGGCUCGCGAGCUCAAUUAUAUAUAAUUUUUAUUUUUUAUUUUAAUAGUAAAAUUACAUAUAUAUUCCUAAUAUUUUAUUAUUUGUUAAAAAAAUUAUUGUUUUAUUCAUUUUUAAAAAUAAAUAAUUAUUUUUUAUUUUUAAAAAAUAAAAUAAUAAUAAUUAUUUUUUUAUUUUUUAAGUUCGACUCGAAUUUGAGUCGAGCUCGAGCUCGAGCUUGAUAUUUUGAGCUCGUCGAGCUCGAGCUCGAGUUCGAGCUUCACAAAAUUAACUCAAGCUCGGCUCGAUUAGCCAAAACUCGACUCGAACUCGGUUCGUUUGCACCCCUACUCACGACUAUUAAUAUAUCCUCUAUUAUCAAUAGGUGAUUAUUAAUCCUAUAAUUUAACACUAUCACACAGCUUGCAUCUAUAUAUACAAUCACAAUGUGGCAAAAGCACUAAUUUCAUGCCAACCUUUUUCACAUACAUAAGAAAAAUAAACGAAUUUACUAGAAAAAAAAAAAGACAUGUCAAUUGUUGAAAGCAUAUGAGACCCCAAAAUUUGACGAGACUAGGGUGGACCAAACUACGAUUUUUUUUGCCAACUGAACAGCAUACCAUGCAGAAGCACUUUAUGUCUAGAGAAUUCUGCCAUAUUUUUUUUAUUGAUGAUGAUGAAGUGUGUAAAUAUGACAUGAAAAGUCAUUGUUGUCCAUAAUCCCACUUCUCCUAGUCAUUUAGGAGAGUGUUUUUGACGAGUCACGAUCCCAUGUCAUGGGUAGGGAAUAUCAUACUUGAUGCUAAUGCAGGCCCAUGAGAAGUAUAUAUGUGAUGUGAAUUUUCAGUUUUUUUUCCAUAUAUAUCUUGGCUGGCUAGUAUUAAAACUUAAUCUGCAAGUUCUGGUUUUCAUGAGUUUGGCCAAACAUGUAUAGAUUAUGAUCCCUGAAUUUUGACUUAAAACGAGGGUUUCCUUUCAUAUGAUGUAGAUUUUCUUGGAAACUUGAUUAAACCUGUCACCGGGUCGAAUCCGGGCCGGAAUUCAUUAUUCCGGACCUGGACUUGUUACUACUAUACCGGUUCCGUAUCCGGUCCGUUUACCCGACGGGUCUUCUACUCUAUGUUCCGGACCCGGAUCCGACGGGUCUACUCGAAUCCGGAUCUGGGUCCGGGUCUACCCGAAAAAAUAGCUAAAACUUGUUUUACAACAAAAUUAGAAAAAGUACUACUUUUUUUUAUUAAGAAAGGUCAAUUUAAUUUUGUCCAACAAGUAUUAUUUCAAUGUUGUCACUUGGUUAAAGUCUUAGCUGGGCUAUAUUGCAUGUGUUAAUUAACAUCUUCUAGAUAUAAUGUUUAGCAUUGAUAAAUACUUUUUGUAAGAUUCAAAUUCAUGCUUUUGCAACAGGUGUUGUAUAUGCCAAAGGCUCUGCAUGUCCGUGGAUAAUAUUUAGUUGUUUGGGCCUUUGGGGUAUAGAAGUAAAUUUGGGGUAUAAAUUUGGGAUAUAUUAUUGGUAUAUAUAUAUCUAUUUUAUAUCCGGAUACGGGUCAAAUACGGGCCGGAAUGAUAUAUUCCGUAUUUGACCCGUUUUUUUGUUUGACAAAACGGAUUCGGAUUCGGGUUCGGGUAAUGGAAUUAUAUCCCUACCCGGACACGUAAAAAAUUGAUAGAUCCGGGUCGAAUCCGGGUCUAGACCCGGACCGUUGACAGGCCUAAACUUGAUACAUGAAACUUAAAAGGUCGAAUAGAUAAAAUGAAGUCCGUGGGAAAUUUUUUUUCCCAUUUUUUUUUUUGAUUUGCAAGAAAAGUUUGGCUGGAAGGAGAAGACCUUUUAGAAGAGCUAACAAAAAUAACAAACCCAAAUAUUCGCUUGGAUUAUAAACUACAUAUGCAUUUGAAGAUGCAAACUAUUAAAACCUUCAACCUAUUUUGGGGCAAGAAAUUGCUUAUAGAAACAAAAACUCAGAGAAUUAAAUAGUUGAAUCUCAAAGAUAAAUGUAUAAUCCUAAUUCAUGUACACCUAGUCAAUAUGUGCUAUAUGAUACUAUGAAACUAAAGUAGCUAUUGACUAGUUUUUUUCCUUCGCCCAUUCAUGUACUCCAUUGCUUUAGUGCCACAGUUGUGCCAUAUUAUGUGGACCAAUGUUAGUAGUUUCCAAGCAUUUUAAACAAAAGCCAAAAAAGAUAGUAGGGUCUGAUUCAAAAGUUAGGAUAAAGAAUUUUCUGUGCACCAAAAAGUAUGUAACAAUUUCUAAUAAAGUCAGAUUUUUAGCAGAAAACAACAUACUGCUCUUAAUCUAUUUUGCUCAUCCAGUUUGUUGGAUAAGAUUGUUCCUACCCUAAUUAGCACUUUCCCGGAAAUGCUAAUGGAGCGGUUUACCUAAAAUGAAGUUCAUUCUGCAAGUGACAGCGUGAAAACAAAGACAAAGUCAAGGAUACAAAAAGUGAACUGAAAUAUAGAGAAAUUUCGGGUUACACAUAUUGUUUUUCCUUUCGGUACAUAACAAUCAAACGAAAAAUAUAUUCUCCUUCUUCACAAGAUUCUCUUUCUAGCUGCUGUCUUUUCCUGUGUUAAAUCUCACCUUAUUGUCCUUUUCAUUUAUUUCUUUUCAUUGGCAGAAAAAAUACGAGUUAGAAAGAUCCACAGAACUUAAUGGCACAAGCAAACAAGAAGACUGUUAAGUUCCAUCAACACCAUCUCUUUCAAUCACAUAACCGAACAACCACAACCAUUUCCCUACAUUUUCUAUUGAUUUCUUUUCUAUUCUUUUUUUCCCCUUUUCUUUCCUUCCCCUCCCCCCCCCCCACCACAAACAAACAUUUCCUGCCAAAACAAGCCCAAGUCCUCACCUCAUUGUUGCCUAUACUCAAAGCGAAUUGAGCAAGAAAAUAACUUGGACCACAACUCUUGCUACUCGGAAGCAGAAGAUUACAAACAGUGGGGGCUCGUGUUCUCGGCAGCUCCAUACAACGCUUACCCUUGAAUAAAUCAUACAUAUGUAUGACUAGUUUACCUUCAUAUAUAAUUAUUUUAGUUGGCAAUUAAGGAGCACUUUAAGUGACAAAGAAUUUAAACUUCCAUCUUAAAAUUAGUUGGCAAUCAGUAGAGUGGUCCAAAAUUUUAUCAGUGUGGCUAGAAAUCCUUGAUAUAUCAAUAUGAGGUAUUUAGUCUCUUAAGACUCGUGCUUGAAAUACUCGGAAUAUCAAUGUGACACAUUUAAUCUCUUAAUAUUAAGCUAAUCUUUUGCAAAUUAUAACAACUUCAAUAUCCAUAUUUAGUGCAUUUUUGUGAAUUUUAGAUGUAUAUUUUCCUUUAUGAAUUACUCAAAAUUUAUUUUAUGAUCUUUGUUCAUUAUUAGAUUAAGGAUAAAGAUGAGCAGAUAAGCAAAUCCAGUGUCCACAACAUUCCAUCCGGUCGAGGAAGGAGCUAGCUACCCCUCAUGGCAAGGAUCAUUUGCAAUUGAAUUCCCUUGUCUCCUUUGUCCAAAGAGAGAGUGUGAUCCCACUUGCUUGACUGUUGUUUCAAUAAGGUACGCAGUGUCCUCAUGUGUAGCAUCUAAGACAUGGGCUGUCCAAAUCUGGACUAAACUCUUGAUCCCACUUGCUUGAUGGUUGUUUUUCACUCUUUUCUGUAAAUUUUCUUUCAUAUUUUUUAUGACAAAUAAUGCAUAUCAUCCGAAAAUGUUUUUGCGCCAUAAAAAUUUUGAUUUAAAAGUUAAAAUUUCUUUCUACGAAUAAUUUUUGUUAAAAUGAGGUAGCUUUUGCUUUUCAGGAAGCGUUUAUAAAAAAAUUUUCUAAAGAAGCAAUUUUCUUGAUAGCGCAAAAAAAAAAAUCACAAUCAGUAAAAAAGGAAAAAGAUCCGUUACUUAUGUCCACAUUCUGUAAGUUGCUAUCAGAACCAAGACCUUGAAUUUUGGUGGAUUAUCUAGCCGGAGGAUCCUUAGACUUGGACUCUUUAUAUUUCCGCGUACACAAACCGAUUUUCAGGAAUCAAGAGCUGGAGAAAUUUAGCCGCGCUGAAGGACCACUAUCAUUUUUACCAGUAUAAACUGUACCAGCCAUAAUGCAGCCAAAAACACAGUACUGCCAUGUAGGUUCGAGCCUCGUCAGUAUUCUUCGAGCCCCAUCGGUAUUCAUGGUUGGCCUUUAACCUUCUAUACACGCCACUUCUCCCGUUUGAUAGAACCGCUCGAUCCAUAUUAAGUUUAGAAGUAGACGAUGAUUUGGCUCCAAGAGAAGAUGGGAUGAAAAAGUGAAUGGUUUCUAUUGAAAAUUGCAAUUCUCUCAAAAUCCAACUCCCCUCAAAAGUACACAAGCUUAGGUUGUAUUACACUUGUUUUAAAGUACUUCUGGACUCGUAUAAUCACUUGCUUUCCUCCAACUAUCAUGCAUAUGAAAGUUAAAUGAGCUAAGACUAAAAUUAGUGAGAUCAGUUUAUUUCGAAUUCCCCUUCUGCUUUUCCGCUUCUUAAAUCCACCUCUACCCUGUUAGAAAAAAAUAAUUUAAAACAAAAAAAAAAAUAGUGGAAUCAACUUAAUUCUAACAAAAAUAUCUAGAGGACAUUAAAUUACAUCAACUGAAUGUACAGUUGAUGAAACUCAAAUUGGCGAUAGGAACAAAAUAGAUUGUCAUCAAUCACAAUAUGUUUACCAACGAAACAUUAGCUACAAGCGGCGUUGUCCAAUUUGCCGACUUGUCGAAGGUGGUACAACUUUGAAAGCUACACGCGAUGCUCUAGUGCAUUGUAUUGUGUUCUCUUCUGUUGGUACAAGACCAAAUUCAGCGACCAAUCCUGAUGAAUAAUUGGAUCUCAACUAACGCUCAUAAAGUAAUCUUUGGCUUAAUCCCAAAUUAGUUUGAUCAAGAUGAUAAAACUUUGAUUCAUGACAUUCGCAUUUGUUUGGCAUACAGUAGCUCUGUUAUUGUAAAUUGGGUUUCAAGGGAUGCAAAUGAAGUCCCUCAUGAAUUCAUGACUCUUGAUGCCAAAUCUUCUGAUUUUGUUGAAUCCCUUUAGAAUUCCUUCCCUACUUUUAUCAAUCAUUUGCUAUUGGACGAUUUCCUAGUAAUGAAAAUUCUCUUUUUAUCAAAAAAAAAGAAGAAAGGAUGAUCAUCAGGGAAUACUAUAUAUAGAGGUGCAUAUCUUAUUACAUUGAUUUAGUAGAUCAGGGUUUUCUCAAAGACUUGAAAAUUUUAUUGAUAUAUACAUAUGAAAAUCAAAGAAGACAUUCAUUUUUCAAUGGCAAAAGUACAUAUUAUAUAGGAGAGGAAAAAAUAUCUGUAAAGAGUUUGACUGAUUGAUUUGGAUAUUAUGAGUUAGGGUUAGGGACCAUACCUUGUUGUGGGCAGGUGAAGAACCUAUUCGACCCCGGAGGAGGGAGGAGGAAUUAAUAUGUCUGGAUGGGACUGUUAUCGAGAGCUUUCAGUCCUUUAGGGAGGGACAAAUGGGGUAGUAAAGCCAUCUCUGGACCACCCAAUUUCGUGGCAUUAAGGCGUGGAUCAAACAUGCCAAGUUUUUGCUUCUACUCCUUGCUACUUAUAAAACCAAUCAGGAGAAUGGGCCAGAGGCUUUUCUAACAAGCUUUUUACGUUGGAUAUUCCUUUGAUUUUUUUUUUUUUUAUAUGUACAUAUUCUUUUAAGACUUGAUCUAGGUUAUCAUUCAUCUGGCUGGAGUAAGAAAAAGAAAAACAACCCCCCAAUGUUCUGGUUUAGCGAAUGGGCAAAAGCCAUGUAAUGACCAUAAGCAAAGGAUGCAAGAGUAAUGAGAGUUUGAGUUCAAGUUACCUUUUCAUCCCAAGAGAAAUCAAACUUUUGUCAAUCCACAUCAAUUGAUCCUAACAGGAUCAGUAGUUGCCUCGUCAGAAGGAAGAUUAGUUUCCAGAUUAUUUUGCAAGCUUUACCUUCGAGGUGUUAAAAGAAGUAAUCUCAACAUGUCAAGAUACUUCCUAUGCAGUUUGACACAAAUUGAUCGUUCAAGGAGGUAACCUCAGAUGUACAAGAGAACAAACAGCAUUUUAGCCCAUGCUUAAUGAUCUAUUCAUUAUGAAGACUAUUCCACAUCACUUGUCAAACAAAGAACUGGAUUACUGACAGACUUCUGUAUCUUUUUUUUUUUUUUUUUUUCACCUUAGCAAAACAUCAGGAACAGCCAAAAGAUCACCAUACCUCUCAAUGGAGUGUCCAAAUCCUGUUAUGCACAUCUUAAGGACACUAAUAGUCGAUCCUGGCUCAAUGAAUGCUGUCUUUCUGCAGAGAUUCCCUACGUUUGAUCAGGUAAGAUAUACUCAAUUUUCUGGUUAGGCUGCAUCCAGUUUAGAAUUUUGUUACAACACAUACAUUAUUAUUUUGUUGAAUCAAGUAAAAAGUUCUUCAGUACAAUAGUAGCUCGAAAACAUAUCUGCUACUUGCUUGUUCUUUACUUUCUAGGUGAAUCAACUUCAUCAUUUGUGUGGAGUCCACAACGUCAAAGUACUAAUUUACAGCAAGUUGAUUGUUUUGUUGUGGUUAUUUGCGUCUUUGGAAGACAAAUAGAGAACCCCUAGAGCCUUUUCCCAACCUAAUCUUCUCAUCUAUGUAUGUGAUUUCUAGCUUUACCUCACUCUGACCACCAUACCGAAACUCUAGUCCUCCAAACUUAAGUUCAGGUGCAUCAAAUACCACUUGUAUCCACUUUUCAUCCAGGACAUUGAGUUUCCCUGCAUAUGAGACGAAAAUUUAGUUGGAUAAAUGGAUGGAUUGCAAAGCAGCAUAGAAAGAGGAGCAGCCUAACAAGUGCAGUCAGUUAUAACUAGUAAUAAAUCCCAUUGUCAUUUACUAGCACCAACAAAAAGCUUAAUCGUUGUUAACUACUGAAUGACAUGGCAGUUUCCUUAGUACAGAUGAUAAUGUUAAGCAUCUUUGGAAAAGAAAAGCUAAGAGGUGCAAUCCUGCAACUGCCACCUGGGGUCCAUGAAUAAUCUUUCUUUGUUUUGGGAUGGGCUGGGGGCGGGGAUAGAGGAUGGGGACAGACAAAAUACCAUCUACAAUGCCCCAUAAAGGUGCAAACUGGAGCUAAGAGCCAAAUUUUCUUCAACUGUUACAAGCACAGGCUCGAGUCAAUACAUCUCUGGCUUAAGCAAGUCUGUCUCAACCAUAAAAAUGCACAAAAUCGUAUGCUUAGUCAGAUGCCAAGUUUAGGUGCAAGCAUCAUCUACACCUCUUAUUCACAGGCUUGAGUCACUACAUCUCUGACUUCAGCAAGCCUGUCUCAAGCAUACUAUUACACAGGAUUUUUAGCUUAUUUGGAUGCCAAGUUUAUGUGCAGUUAUCAUCUACACCUGUUAGUGACAAAAAAAAAUUUUUUAAAUCAACUUGGCUGCAGAAGAAAUUGGAGCUUAUAUGUAACAAUGGAGUAGGUCUAAGUUGCAAUUGACGUUAGACUAUGAGCAUCCCUUUUUACUUGUUUAGCAUGUAUGCAUCACACAUUCACCAGAAUUUUCUGUUCCAUCUAUUUUCUGAUUAUAUUAAUGUGCACCAAUCAAUUCCUGCAAUUCAAAUUUGCCACUGCACUGGCUGAGGCAUAACAGGACCGCAGAAACAGGAUGCUAACUUCUGCUUGGCAGUUGGGGGUGGAAGGGUGUGGGGAGGGGUAGGAAAAUUAAAAAAAAAAAAAAAGGAUAUCCAAUUCCUUGACAACAUUAGUACACUUAAACACUAUUAGGGCUAAUAUUGGAAAAUUUGGACAUAAUGUAAUAUUCCAAGCAGUCUUUAAGGUACUUUCUCAAACAACUAUGUCGCUCUUAUUGUGCAAUUUCGCAUAAAACCAGCUCAAAUAUUGUAAUUACCCAACCAAUGAGCCUCAACUAUGACUCAAAAGCUUAUAUUCAAGUUUAUGACAGUGGUGCAUUUCUGUGUCUGUAUGGGCCUUUUAAACAACCAUCAAAAAUUCAUGGCAAGGGUGUCCUAUCAUACAACUUGAAACGUAACAAUAGAAGCUUCACUCUAAAUGCAUGUGAAACUGAGCAUGAACACAACAUUAUAUUUGCAAUGACUGAAUGUAACAUGCUCAGGAAUGUUAAAAUACUUUUUCGGAAGAAACCCUGAAUAAAGAUCCAAUAAAAAAGUUUCCAGAGUUAGCACAGAUAAGGAGGAAGACACAAAAUUGAAGAGUAAACCAAGUUUAUUACCUUCUAAAGAGACCUCCCCGUCAACAAGCCCUAGAAGUGAGAAGGACACUUUGUUUCUCACUAUAUCAGGAGCUUCAACAACCUGAAUCAUUUCUUUUGUUUUGAAGAAUAAGCGGCCAAUUGCACUCCUAUAGCCUCCUCCUGGUGAUGUAGGGUUCGAACAAUACACAACAUCCCACUCUGCAAAGAACUUGGCUCAUUAUUUGCACAUUCAAAUGUUACAUUCUUAAUCAGAAAAUAUCAAAAUUAAAUUCUUUCUGCUUAUUUAUUUUCCUACUGCUACAAUAAUAAUAGUAAAAUAUGCAUCAGAAUCCAAACCAACUAAAUGGACAAGUGGCACGUGUAAAUGCAUGAAUACCAUACAACAGAGGACAUACAUCAGCUGUUCGUACAAAUAACACAUCAACAAGGAUCAUUUACCUCCGAAAAUAAGAGGGCAUUUUACUGGCUCAUCCACACAAUACUGCUGCAAAUCACGGGCUACUUCAGCAACUUUAUCAUGCUCAUUCCUCAUCAGCAAUACACCCCUGUCUGUUUGCAUAACCUAUCAUGUAAUAAGACUUGUAUUGACCUCAUAAUGAGCAACUGCAGAAUGUUUAAUUGUAGUAAACAAGAGGAAAAUAGUUCUGUCACAAAAACACUGAUAUCGAUAUUCAUUCAAAUAUCCACCAUGCAUAAUAAACUUUACUUCUUAUUUGAUUAAAAUCAAUCAAAUACAAGACAAUGAACUUUUAGUAGCACUCAAAAAUUUUUUUUCCUGCACUAAACUAAUCUAAAAUUCUAAUAGAACCAUUAGUCUUAUAUUCAACCCUGGAUCUAAAAAUUCAAUCUUGCACAAGACUGUGCCAAUCCUGAAGUUAAUUUAGGUAAGUUUCCAAAAUAAAGAAUUUUUUUUAAAGCGAUACAUUUCCAUUUCCUUCUUCCUUUUAUUCUUUUUUCUCUUCUUAUUCCCCAUCCUUGAGAUUGAAGUAUUAAACCAUCUUUGACAAAUUCAUAAUCCAUAUAUUCAUACAACUACCUAAAGAAAAUGACCAUACGCUAUAAAAUCUCCAAGCAGUGGCCAAAACUCAAUUAACCAAAUCAACUCUGCAAAUUAUUGAGCAAAAAAGAAAGAAAAAACAAAUACAGCCCAAGAAUGCCAAUUCAUCCUUUAAACUAAGACAAAGAAAUUGAAUAAAUUAUACACUAUCAUAGCACAAACCUUGGAAAGAAUGGAGGCCACAAGGUCAUCUGGCUUGGCUGAUGACAAAGGCGCUGCAGUUGACAAAGAAGCGUGAAUGCGACCAGCGCCUCUCUGGUACAACGGCAAAACCUUCAAACUUUUAUUUGAUCGGACGAGCUGCAGCCGGGGAGCUCUGAUGACAGCAGCAGAAGCAGGCGUCAAAGCACAAGCAGUCGCCAUUGAACCUUAUUCUAUAUAUUUUGUCGAUAUUUUUCACUUCUUUUUCCCAUGUUAUUCUUCUAGUGGUCGAAUGGAGUGAAGCAAAUCAGGAACGGGGCCCACUUGAAAUCCGUUUUGUGGAUGUGAUGGUGCCACGUCGGCUGGCAAUGUUCCAUUUUAUUAAAUUUUUUUUUUGGGAUGUUCGGUCCGCAUUUGGACCUAAAAUUUAAUUUUCUAGUAGGGAAAAGAAAAAGGCCAAAAAAAAAAAAACCAAAAUAUAGACCAAGUGGUUUUAGCUCACUCCUUCAAGGACCCAUGCUGAGAAGCGCUUUGUAGCUAACACUCGCUUACACGCUUCUUCUCUUAAGUCCGAAUUCUUCUCGACCGAUCUCUCCCCCUUGAGAUCUACUGCGUUUCUCUGCUCCCUGGGGAACUCAGACUUCAAUCCCUCGGCUUCUUUCCUCAGCUGUCUGUGCUGGGUCACAGCACCACCGCCGGCAACUAAACGGCGGCAGGACUCAUCUGAACUUCCGUCAGUGCCAAUACUCUCUUUAGUUAUAAAUUCAUACGCACGUCUCCACAGAUCAAUACAUACGUGUUGUGUAUAUAGACAGAAGGAUAGGAAAUAUCGAAAAGAACAGAGAAAUUAGGGCUAGUGAACUGUGAUGAAGCUGUUAAGAUUUGCGUUUGCUAUAGCUUUAGCUUCUGGAUUGACGGCUAUUCUUAUCUACUUCAAUGGCCUUAUCUACAUCAAUGGCGUCUCCUUCCAAAGUACUCAAUGAAUGAUCCUCUCUGUGGUUCGCUUUCUUAAUUUAUGUUUUUUAAUUGUUGAUUAAUUUCUGUGUAAAUGGAUGGAUACAGAUGCUGCAAUUCAUCUGUCGGACAAGGAUGUGGAGGCUUUACGCAAUUUGCGAACUACAUUCCAGAAAUGUGUGGUUAGUUCUUCUUCUUCUUUUUUAAUUAAAAGUUCUAGGAACGCAAGUCUUAUUUUUUAUUUUUAAAAUUUUCGUGUUUUUCGUCCUUCUUUUUGUGUUUUUGUGGGGAGUGUUGUUAAAUUCUAUUUGGCUGGGAUAUAAAGACUAAAUUUCUGGGAACUGGAAUCGACCAUGGCAAAUAAUGGUCUUGGCUUGUGGAAAAAGCUUAAAUAGUCAACAGGAAGAAACUUUUGAUGCUGCAGUCGUAUUCUAUUGUUGUUGGGAGAUUUUGUUGUGUUUUCUAUGAUUUAUGAGUUGAAGUAGUAGAGCUUAUCAUGUGUAUGAACAUGCAUUUGUGUAUACAUAAGUAUACAUUUACAUAGUAAUUGCAUAUCUACCAUUGCUUGAGUGAGAAUUUUGUCAGUCUUUUUUGGAUUUCCAAGUUGAUUUUGUUUUUCAAUUGUACACAAUGUGUAUCUUUCUUGUUCUUUGAUUUCAUGCUCUGAUAUGUCUGUUGUUUGGUCAUUGAUUUUAUGCUUCAAUAUAGAUUUUUUGUUCCUUAAUUUCACACUUUGUAGCUUUUGGUCAUUGAUCAAGUGAUUUGCAUUUUCUCAACAUACACCAUGAGCAUCUUUGUUGUUCUUUAGCACAAUGCCUUUUAAUUUCCGUAGCUUGAAUAUUUGGCCUGUGGUCAAUGUAUACUGAUGAUAUUUUCAUGAGUUAUUACAUCUUUUAAGCUUUUGUGGACAUGAAAUACUCGAACCUGUCCUAAGUUUCUCAGAGUUUAAGUUUGAAUGCAUAAGUAACUGAUAUUGUAUCCUAUGUAGAAAAACUAUGUUCCUAGGAUCAGGGGAGAAGUAAAUAUUGCCAAAUAUGGUUAAAAAACACAUAAUGGAAAUGUUUUAUUGUAGAAUAAAAAGAUGGUCUUGAAAAAGAUAGUGUGUAAUGAUCCAGAAAUGGAUAAAACCAGAUAAGUUAGAAAAAUAUCUUUAAUUGAAAUGGUAUAUGCAUGAUUUAAAUCUGAAAAGAUCUGCUUGGAAAAUUUCAUCAGUAUAACCAACUCUGAAAAAAGCCUGGCUUGUGGUGCCAAUCUCUCAUUGUUUUUGACAGAUUUAAAAUUUGGUAGAUAGGAUCUACAUAUAUAAAUACACACACACACAUGCAUAUAUAUAUAUAUGUAUGUAUGUAUGUGUAUAUAUGUAUGUAUGUAUGUAUGUAUGUAUGUAUAUGUAUGUGUGUGUGUGUGUGUAUACUCCCAGAUCCACAUGGUGUUGAUGUAAGAUCAUGGUUGGAUAUCCAUUGUUUUUUGGGUUUUCUAAACUUGAGUUAGCAAUUUUUGCCCUUAUGUUUCUGUGGAGAACUUGGAAAAUGCCUAAAAUAUGCUUUCUUGCUAUCUUCUAACUAUCAAAUAAUGCCUCUUCGAUUUACUCAUCAGACUAAUUGUCCAUGCAGAGUGCUAAUGGAUUAGGAUUAGAAGCUCUCAGUGGCAGGGGUUACUGUGAUGUUACACUAAGAUUUCCUAGUGACACUCUUCCCAAAUGGGUAGGUCCCUUCAUUUUGCUAACAAUUGUCUAUCUUUCGUCCGAUCCUUGGAUAUUUUCAGUGCAUGGUCUCUUCGGAGUUCAGCUAUACUGUAACUGAAAAAGUUUUGACAGUGACAAGACAGCUCCAUGAUCCUAUCUUAAGGGCACUAAAUUUUUUAUAAGACCUCGACGAGAUAGUUUUGUAUUUGUAUAUACGGAAACAGUGCCUACUGCAGAAAGAACGGAAACUGAAUUUGUUGUAGUUUGAUAUGCUAUCUUGGUAGCUAAUUUUGGCUUUUUGAUGGAUAAUUGAACAGAAAGAUCCAAAAACAGGGGAACUUGAAGGCUUGUCAUUUGAGUUUAAUUUAUGUGAAGCUGUGGCUACAUGGGAACAGGUCAGUAUUUAUGCGUAAUUGUCUGUGAUUCAUUUUUCUGUGUUGUUUCUCAGAUACAAGCUUUGAAAUCAUUAUAGAGUCCUUUCAGAACAUGCACAAUUAAUCACUUACGGAGAUAUGUCACGGGGAAAAGGUCAAGAUGAGCAUAUGACUGUAAUACUUUACAAGCGACAACUGGAAGAGUGCACAAAACCCUCUUAAGUUACUUUUAACUGGCGAGAAUUCCUACAAUUCUAUAAAACGUUGAUGCAGUACAACAUGGAAAAUGAACAUAACAUGCAGAUAAAAACUAACCCAUCUCAGUGUUCUUGAAGAUAGUCAACUCUUACCCAAAAGUUACACUAAAUUUUCUGUUUUCUUUAGUUAUAGGACUAGUCACAACUGCAUGAAAAUCAUAUUGGGAGCAUUCGGCUUAUAAUUUCUUCAGCUUUUGAACCAUUAAGAUUGUUACUCACCAUUAUUUUCCAAGUGUAUCAAUUAACUCCUUUAGCUUAAAAGUCAAAUUUUUUUCCUAUGUUCUUUGGCUUAUCCUUGUCAAGUUGACCUAAAAGAUGUUUUAUUUAGAUUGUUUGGAGUGCUAUUUAUGUGCUACCAUUUAUUUGUUAUUUAGUGAGAUGACUUGCUCAGGUUAGGAACAGCACCACAAUACUUACGAGAGAGUUCAUUGAUGCUUUACCGAAUGGAUGGAAGGAGUAUGCCUGGCGGAGGAUCAACAAAGGAAUUCUUUUGUAAGUAUCUUUAGAUUAUCGAACUUAUAGAAGGAUAACCAGCAAGUCAAGGAAAGAAAUAUGGUGAUUAGACAUGGAUAUCAAUCUAAAGUGGUGUUGCUGUUCUUCAAUGUUGUAGCAAUUGUAAUAUGUCAUUAGGAAUGAAAAUGAGUGGUGUAGAUAUAUGUAUUAUUGAGUGUGCAUGGAUGUAAAACUACCUUCAAGCAAUUAAUUUGAUUUAGCAAUAAAAAACAUUUAUAGUUGCAUCAAUAGCAUGAAAUUAUUCUGAUCUUCCCUUGGAACUUCAUAAGAUGCUUGUAUUCUGUUCUCUCCAGUAAUGCUUGUAAAAUCUGUUAAAGGAUCAUACUUUCCCGGUUCUUUCUUACCUAACAAGAGAUAAGUUUAGAGAAUCUCUAACCUUUGGAAUGGAACAAUUAGAAAUUAAUAGGAAGGUUAGAUCAUGAUGGAAAACUUCAAGUUCCUCUGCAAGUGCUUAUUCAACAUUAUAUACCUUGUCGUAUGGGUAAAUAAUGCUUUUUGUGUUAUGCUGGUCAUGUAAACUCCAAUUUCUUCAUGUCUUCUCUCACAGAAAUCAAUGUGCAAAUAGAACACUCUGUGAGGAGAAACUUUCUUUGGUGCUUCCUGAAAGACCGCCCUAUUUGCCAAGGCAGUUUGGCAGCUGUGCUGUCAUUGGUAAUUCUGGAGAUCUAUUGAAGACCAAAUUUGGCAAGGAAAUCGAUGGUUAUGAUGCUGUUGUCAGGGAGAAUGGAGCCCCAAUCCAGGUUUGUAUAGCUACCUUGUGGAUUUUAUCCACUUUUGUUGGUAUUUUUGUGUUGUCAACUGGUUAAUAAAGUGCUAGCUAAUACAUUCUAUUGUUGUUGAUCUGCAGAACUUUACAGAAUAUGUGGGUACAAAAAGUACAUUUCGUCUUCUGAAUAGAGGAUCUGCCAAAGCCCUUGAUAAAGUCGCAGAAUUAUAUGGUAUUUACUUUGUUCUGCUCUCUGCACGGGCCUUUUUGUUUUUAUUUCCCUCUGCUAUUUGCAACUAACUAAAGAUUUUGACCAUGCAGAGAGAGGAAAGGAGGUUCUCAUAAUCAAAACAACGAUACAUGACAUCAUGAACAAAAUGAUUCGGGUUUGUACAUUUUCUCUUUCAAUUAAAACAACUUCUGGUUUGACUUUCUAAUAUAAAUAACAUUGGAGUUGUCAUCUGUGGAGGUGGAUUUGGAUGGAGGAAUGCUGUUUAUCUUUUAAACUUUAGGGGUCUGAUGUCACAUGAGGAAUAAUUUAUGUAUGGGACAAAUGGCAUGCGAUUGUGAUGUGACUAAUUAUAUUUAAGUGUAUGUGUGGGACUAAUGCAUGUGACUGAUUAAUAAAUACACUUUGAGUAAAGGUGCUGUUCUUGUUAUGAGAACUAAUUAGCUUGAGUAUAAUGAUGGCAGCUGUGCUACCUAAAAGAAGACGAAUGUCAAGUUCUUCAAUUAUGAGAAUCUUGACAAUGAUGGUAUUGACUACCAAUUGUUUGUUGAAGUGGUUUAUAUCUUAAAAGGACUCAGGUUUUCUGAGGAAGUAACCUUCUGAAAGAUGCCCUAGAAAAUGAUAAAGCUAUUUGACAUUAUGGAUUUGAUGUUUUGCCCUCUGGAAAUUUUUUAUGAUUGGAAUAUGUUUGAUAUCAUGACUGUAAAGUUAAAGUGUCUUUAAGAUGCCAAUCUUACAGAUUAUAAAGAACAGUGAAAGUCACACAACGAGAUGUUUGUGUACAUUAAUUUCUGCAUUUGUACAAGGUGGAUGAAUGGAUUGCAUUUUUAAUUUCUCUUAUCUAAUUUUGCAUUUUUAAAUGGAAUAAUUCUUUUAAGGAGAGGGAUACGAAUGGAAAGGCUAGUUUUCACAUAUGAUCAAUUAACUUUUGAUAAUAUAAUUGUCCAUUUUCAUGUUUAUUUUGCUGGAAUCCUCUUUCGCUGGUCCUUUUUUUUUCUUGGAACCUAUCCUUCCAAAUUCAUAUCAUGUUAACAACUUGCUUGAUGAGAAAAGUAUAGCAGUCAAUAACUUGACGUCUUGGACUUUGCCCCUUGUCCUGUUACGCCCUAAUAUGCUCUCAGUUUUUUCGGUUUUUGUGAUCUAUAGGAAGUUCCAAUUCUCAACCCAAUAUAUCUCAUGUUGGGUGCAUCCUUUGGUUCAGCAGCAAAAGGUACAGGGCUGAAGGCACUCGAAUUUGCACUCUCCAUCUGUGAUAGUGUAGACAUGUAUGGUUUUACUGUUGAUCCUGGCUAUAAAGAGUGGUAUGUUGUGACUGAGACACUUGUAAGAGUGGAAUUUGGUAGUUCAUUGAUUUUUAACAAUCGUAAGAUAGUAUUAACUCAUGAGUAUAUCAAACUUCAUUUUAGGACGCGAUAUUUCUCCGAGUCUCGACAAGGUCAUACUCCUCUCCAGGGCAGGGCUUAUUACCAAAUGAUGGAAUGUCUGGGAGUAAGUCUAUAGAUUCUUUAUCUUUCUAAAUUCGAGUUCUUUUCCCUCCAAGUAAAGAAUUGCCUUAAGACAAUCAAACUGAUUUGAGAUAUGUUUUAAUUUUCAAGCUUUUGCAAUAUAGACUUCAUAUAUGUAUCAUAUGUAGUUAUUCUGUUUACUUUUGCCAAUAGUGUGUGGUCUGUGAAUUAAAAUGCGUGAAUGCCAAACAACACUGGGCAAAGUGAAUCAUUCUCCAGGGAAAACUGCUUGCUUGGAAGAUGAACAUGAUUACCAGAAUCAUAUCUAUCACUCUGUCAUGCUUUAAUGUGUGUUUCUCGAGGAUAUUCCUUUGUUGAUCACUUCCAUUUUUUUUUUAUGUAAGCUUAUCAGAAUUCAUUCACCAAUGCGUGCCGAUCCUAAUCGUGCUGUGAAGUGGGUACCAGACCGUAGAUUAAUACUUGCUGCCAGAAUUGCAUCAGAGAAACUAUUGAGGUAACCUAACUUUCAGUUGUUUCCUUCUCUUUAUCAUCUCUAUGGUUAGUUUUUGCAGUUGAACCUUUUCUUCUAUCUUUCAUAGUUUUAGGACUUGUUGGAAGAAAAUGAUGGAAGGCAUCAGCAUUUUUCUUGUUAAAUGGCUCUCUACGGGCCUUUUGCUAUUUGUCUGACAAGGUCUGUGCUAAUACUUUCAAUAUACUAGGGGUGCUGACAACGGAAAGUUUGUUACUGGUUUAGGGUGUAUGCUCUGUAUUAUGUGCCAAGGAUCCUUAUUAUAUUUCCCUUCUUUCACCAUUUUCUCUAGUUACAUUAGGUUUAAUGCUAUCAACCAUGGAACUCAGUUGGAUCUCUUUGAAUGCCUAUACCCUCUUGUUUCUCUACUUCUUUCAUUACAAAUCAAAUGCUUUCAAACUAGUUAUUGCAGCAGUUCUGUAAUUCAGCAUAUUGCUCAUGUGAAUAGGAGGGUUGGGGCAGGAUCUGGAGAUCCACUCUCUGGGUGUUCCAUUAUCAAGAAGCAAUCAUCAAGAAAGGCUACAAGGGAUUUGAGCAUAAGAAGUGCAGUAAUUGAGCAUCAAAAAUAUGCAAAAGCUACCACUAUGUAUCCUUUGGAACAUAAUCCAGGACAUGGUCUGCUUUGCACAGUUCCAAGAGAUUGAGUUCAUUGGUUGACUUCUGCGUAUCAGGCUUUGACAACGCUGCAUGAGAUUUGGAUGGUCAGGAAAAUGAACUACCUGUUCUUUUACAGGCUGCAGAAGUGAAACUGCCAUGUUCGCUUAUUUUUCAUGGCACUCUCCCACUACCGCUAGUUGAUAAUGCAGAUCAUUUUGGUCAGUGAAAUGCAGAUUGUUUUGCUGUGGAGAGAAUUUCGAUGAUUAGAGGGAAGGAUAUGAUGAACGUUGGUGGCUACUGCUUCAGUUUUGGCGCUUGAUUUCUGUUGCACUGGUUGUUACAGGUUUGAUACUUAUACCCUUAUUCGUCCAUUGUUUCCUUAGCAUAGCCGGUUCAUUGCAACUAAUACGAACAGCCUGACAUGUAGAACUCACACUUGCGGAUGUCACAGUACUAUCUUAAAUGUACACUGCCCUUAGUUCCCGAUGUGGAUUUUUAUUUUGUUGGAUUGGUCAAAGGUUGAAUGUUUAAUUACUGCCUUGGGAUUUUAGUUUCAUGGAUUAGAUCUCACCUUCCCCUUUGAUCAAAUUGAAGGCAAAUUAUAGGCUCUCACUCGACGCUAUCUGAUUCAAUCGCGGAUUACAAAGGGGGAGUUGUUUACUUGCCAAUGGAUUUGCUUGUAGCUGUCAAAGCAAUAAAAACUUGAAAAUGUAGUCCAAAGCAAUUGUACGAGCACACAGCAAAACAUUAUUGAUUCUAGAGCAGGUUUACUACUUCUCUGGGGGGAAAAAUAAACCAUAAAGGGCCUAAACCAAUACCACCUGGCUGAAACUGCAGGGAUUAUCAGCGACUGGGAAAAUCUUCAAUUGAACAUACAAGAAUUGGAACUUUAACGUGACUUGAUGGAAUCAAAUUUCUACUCGAACUCAGCUACUUUGUACAUUUCUUUUCCUACGCGGUUAUGCUUAUAAGCCCUUGUAAAGUUUUUUUUUUUUUUUCUUUUUCCUAGUCGCAAUGGUAAUAUUUGUUUAAGCUACUUUAACCUAACCUAGGAAGAAAGUGAACCUAACCAGGAAGCCAUUUGAAAGUGACAGUCACAAUUAAGUGGUUUUAAAGUCUUGACCUCCCACCUCUGUCAAGGCUUUAAAGUCUUAAUGGUUACCAAGAACCCAAGAAGUUGUUGAUUUUAUAAGUCCUUGUAAAUUUACCCAACAUCAAGAUUGAUAUAAGCUAUAGUGAAAUAAUCGCAAGCAAGUUCUAUGUUUGGAUAGCUCAAAUUUGUCAAAUAAUAUUUCGUUUACAUCAUAAAUAUAUUUUUUAAUUUAUCUUUUUAUAUUUAUAAUUAUUUUUUUUAAUUUUAUAUACAUCACAUCAUAAAAAAUAUUAUAAUAAUUAUUUCAAAUAAUGCAUUGUUCAAACACACAUGUGCAAGAAUCCAGUACCAACCUGUCACCCUUAUUAUUCCCUCAAUCAGUUAAUUGGAGAAAAUUAAGAAUUUACAACAUUCAUUCUCUCACUCCAUUUAACUCUCGGGGUCGAUCCAGCGGUUGGGGAGAAAUUUUAAGGUAGCAAAAGGGGCUCAGAAGAAGGCUGUAAGAGGCUAAAAAAAUAAAAAAAAAAAAUUUCUUUCACAAUCAUUCAUUCUUAUCCCCACUCUUCAAGAGCACGCACGUGUCAUCCGCCCCUUUACCAAAGCUUACUGAACAAUAAUUACAUCACCACUCCCACUAUAAAUACGAAUAAAACACUGUACAUCAUUCAAUUAACAUUAAAACCUCAGGCGGCCCAAUACAUCUCUUUCCUCUUUGAACUCUCUCUUUCUCACAAUCUCAGCUGCAUAACUCCCUCUUCAAACUACCGGUAGUUGUUACUUUUCACCUUUCCGAUUUCUUCACUUUUUCCACAAAUCCCAAUUAAAUUAAUCAAACCCCAGAACCCCAGUCCUAUACAGUUUAAUCUAAAGUCAACAUUUUCCUGGAGUAGUAUAUUUUAUGCAGAGAUUAGGGAGGCUGAAGAGUUAAUUUUAUAGGUGAGAAUAAUGGCCGAGCUAAACCCACUUGACGGACAAAUUAACGGCGGCGGCGGCGGAGGAGGAGGAGCAGGAAAUGGGGAGACGAUGGUGGGGACGGCGACGAAGAGGCAGAGAAGGCCGAGUGUGAGAUUAGGCGACAUUGGAGGCGACCCACCACUGGCGGCCUAUGAACACCUGCACCAGCAACAUAGGAGGGCCUCAUCCAAGCAGCAGCUGCAGUAUCAAUGGAAGCAGCAGCAGCAGAAAGGUUCGAGAUUGAGAAAUAAUGAAACCCUAGCGGUGGAUAAGAAUGGGAUUAGCAAUAGCGAAGAUGGGAUUGAGGGUUUUGUUAAUGAAGGCGAGGAAGGUAAUGAAGGGGAUAUGGAUUUGGAUAGGGUUGCUAUUGGGAGCUGGAAAACUUUUCGGGAUUCGUCGAUGAAAUCGAAGAGGGGGAGAGGGGGUUCUAUUAGGAAGAGGGUUAGGUCGAAUUGGGUUUCGUCUAAAGUUGAUGAAAGUGGGAAAUUAUUGACCAGUGGAGGUGAAGGGGAAGGGGAUGGGGAAGAGGGUUUUCAUUUGGACAAUGAUGAUGGGAUGGAUAGGGAUUUUGCACGUGAAAACUCUGAUGAGGAGGUGGACAGAAAUGAGAGCCCAAUUCGUUCUUUUGAGAAUAAUGAUGCGGAUAUUGAUGUGGAUAGAGAAAGAGGGUUUUUGAAAGUAGGGGAGAAAAACAGGAGAGUGACUACUAGGGUUUCUGAUGAAAUGGAGGGGCCUAGUGAUUCGGUAGAGAGAAAUGGAGUGAAGGCUUGGUUGAACCAGUUGGGCUUAGGGAGAUAUGCCCCAGUUUUCGAGAUUCAUGAGGUGGAUGAUGAGGUUUUGCCAAUGUUGACACUGGAGGAUUUGAAGGAUAUGGGAAUUAAUGCUGUUGGGACGCGGAGGAAAAUGUAUUGCUCAAUUCAGAAGCUCAAUAAGGGAUUCUCCUAGAUGAUGAAGUUUCUGGCAUGUGGAAAGAGAAGAUUUAGCAUCAAGAGUUUACUAGGAGGGUUGGGCGGUCAGCAACCAUUUGGGGGUAUCUUCUUUGCAGCCUAACAUAAUAGUUUUGCAGAAUUAUGGUUUUUGUUUUAUGAAUUUCCCUAGAUUUUGUGUUUUUUUUCUAAUCGAUGUCCGCUCAUGGUAUAUAUUGUUCUAGUUAGUCUUGACUUUGCUGAGGUAGUUCAUAGUUAAGAGUAUGCCAAUAACUGUUUAACCGCAAGGUCAAACUGAGUGAUGAUAGAUUUAUGUGAUAAUAGUUGCUGUAACUUCUGUGAUGAGACUCUCUUUUGCUUCAACAAAAUUCUCCUCUCUUUUUAUGGCUUUUUCUUCUGAACUAGUGCUUGUGAUGGCUUUUUCUUCUGAACUAGUGCGUGUCCUCUGCAUUAUGCGUAUUGUUCAACUUAAGUAUGCUUUAUGUUGCUAAUCUUUUUAUUUCAUACUUAAGCACUAGAAACGAGUACCUUUAAUGCAUAUAUAUAUAGUAAUCUUUGAUUGAAAGUAAUAUGAUUGAGAUUGGGCCAGAAUUAAUAGCAUCUUGAACUAUUGUCAUUUUCCGGUUUGUAGUCACAUUAUGACCACAGCAGUGUAGGCCAGAAUAUUUCAAGAUUAUGACUUGCGCAAGUUGAUGAGCAAGUUCUCCCCUCCCCCACAACAACAAAAAAAAAAAAAAAAAACACACACACACACACACACACAAAACUUACAAACUUGUCUGCAGUAAAGAAGCUCACAAAGAGUCCUCUUCUUACUUGGCUCAGCUAGCGGCUGCUUGUCUGCUUUUAAGUGGUUCAGUUUCAGUUUCUUUGUGAUUGUUGUGUGCACCACACUUAGGAGAAUAAUUUGGCUUGAAGAUCAGGUUGCAAUUUAUUGCUACCAAAAUGAAUGAGGUGCCUUCUAUGAUUUUCUGUCGUAAUUAGAAUUUGGUUGCUCUGUGGGCAACAUAAGCUGGAAAUCAAAUUUAGAGAGAAUAAAACGUCCGCAAUCUAUUCUAUUCUAGUGAGGGAGCCUAAUUUUCAUGUCCACUAGUUAUAACAGAGCAAAUGACUAGGCUCUAGGGAUGUUUAAGGGAUGUUUACCUGCUUAAGGGAUGUUUAGCCUUGGACUAGGCUCUACAGAUUUGUGAUGAGUUGAGAAAACUGGGGAUAUAAAUUGAAAGCCUUAUUGUUUUUCCCUAUAACCCGGUUCAUUGUGCUGGUGCAUGAGUGUGGGGUGUACUUAUGAUUGGAUUCCUCUGAUAUUGAAGCCUGAAAGUAUCCACGGCCAAUAGACCUAACGAGUACAAAAUUUUGUACAUAGAUGAGUUUUAUUGGACCUUCCUAGACUCGACAAUUAUUUGCUUUUGGCUACUAAAUGGCGCUAAUAUGAUCUUUGUGAGUUGGGAUUGGUGUUAAUAUUUUGGAGCAUUCUUGCAUUACUGUUGCCUAAAUUUCUGGUAUGCGUUUCUCUUGUGACAAGGGAAGAAAAAGAGAUUCAAAAAAAAAAAAUUUGUUUGUAUAUGAAUGAGUGCCUUCAAACCUCCUCAUAGCCUCUUCAGUUCUGCUUAGAUAUGCAUGUCUAGAUUUGGCUGCUUUUUAAGGUAUUCUUCUAUCGAUGCAUCGUAUUCCAGUUACCAUCUGGUUACAGUUUUUAAAUCUCAUUGUGGCUUUUUAACAAUGUGUUCUUGAUGAACCGAAAUUUGGGCACUUUAUUGCUUGAACAAAAGAUUGUGAACCCAGGUAAUAAUAAUUUUGCUUGCGUUGGUGUUUCAAUCCGGAGACGUGAUUCUUUCUCUUUUGAGAGACUUUGAGCAAAGAAAGGCUGUACAUGCAACACCAAUAAAGAUCCAUCAUCUAAACGUUUUCAUGCUCAGCACAUGGAACAAUACUUGUUUGCAUGUGUUGUGUCUGCACAUGCACAUUUGUUUUGUUUACAAAUUGCAAGCAUCAUCCAUCAUACAUACAUACGUCUACUUAUUGCUACUAUUCUCACACGUGAUACUGUAGUUAUUUUCCAGAAUAUUAAUUAAGAACGUGGACGGGGUACCAAUUUUAGACAACAAUAGAAAAGACCUGAAAGUCUGGUCCCAGAUAAAAAUGUGUUAUGUUUCUGGUGACUCGAGUCAUCUACUGAAGCCAUUCGAAUCAAAAUUCUACAUCAUCCCUUAAAGAUUGGCAACCAAGCGAUUGAUAAAGAGUUUUUUUGGAAACGUACGAUAUGUGGACAUUUUCUUACUGUUUUUCUUACAAAAAGCCAAUAGUAAAUUUGAACAGUAAUGUUUUAACAUUAGCAUGAUUUCGAUCUCCCAAGAAAGCUACUUAAGAGUGUGUCUAUGAUCCAGGUCUGAACUCGCACAAGAACUGAAACACACUAGCCAAAGUAUCAUCUGGACGUACCGCCAAUUAUAGCAAUACAUAACCUGCGUAUUUAAUCUUAAAGUAACACUGUUGUACUCCAAAAAAAAAAAAAGAAAAAGAAAAAACUAACCAAAAGUACAACUUGAACAUCCGACAUGAAAAGAUACGGACCCUGUACACACAAAUAGACAAAAUUUAGCACCUCACACGAAGGUAUCACUUAUCAGCCAAUCAUAA